AAGUUUCAAAGAGCAAUUGUCACUACAACAAAAACGGUCUAUAGCGAUACUUUUAAAUGUCGGUAUAAGUCAAAAAAAGUGCUGCUGGCUAAAUUACCGACACUUUUGAAAAGUGUUACUAUAUGUGGGGUCGCUAGAUAUAUAGUGACAGUUAAAAAGUGUCGCUAUAACUUAAAAAGAGUGCUGCUAAUUUACUAACACUUAUUUAAGCAUUUAGCAACCACCGAAACUCUAUCUCGUUGGCUGCGGUGGUAGAGAAGGACGAGAGGGAAGGGCUCUUCGUCUAAAAUUUUAGUGGAUUGAGUGAGGGGGAGAAGGGGAGAUGAUAAUCGAUUUUUCUAAUUUUUUUCUUUUUUAUUUGUAAUCGGACCGAAUGGGCUGGGUGGGAUGGGUUGAGUAGAGUAACCUUUAAUUUUUUGUUGGAUUAGGCUUUAUAUUUAUGUGUUAGUAGAUUUUUUAAAAAAUUUAGGUAUAAAUAUGACACUUACACAAAAGUGUUCCAAACAUGUGUCCCUAUAACCUAAUUCUGUUGUAGUGUGUUGAAGGCUUAGUUUACGAUGUGCUGAACCUUCGAAAUCGUGGGUUUUUCUGUCCGAAGGUGCUUUGGAGCAACCUGGCAAGCUGGCAAGCGCAAGAGCAAUUGAAGUAUAAGAUAAAAUGCAGACACAUACAUGCUAAUGUGGUGCACCAUGUGCAUUCAAUAAUUUCUCAAAACUUAGCAUCUAAAUAAGUCUUUGGUUUGUAGCUUUAAUUAAAUAAUAUAUGAUAACACUUGAGUAGGUGACCAACAUUAGGUUUAUUAGACACAUUGAUUAAUGCAAUCAAUUUGCGGCUUUGCUAAAAUUAACAGAAGCCAACCUAAUGAGAGUCAAGUCAAAACCCAACAAGAUUACACGUUUGUGGAAUUUAUUAAGCAUAUUAUGGUUGAACACCAAACCUUUAAUUAAAACUAUAUCACGUUGAACACAAUGGAGGAGGUGGAACCACCACUCAAUAGCAUGUAAUUAAUUAAUUAAUUAAACUACCAAAACAAAACCCCAUUUUGCUUUUUUUCUUUUUCUUUCCCCUUUUUUUUUUUUCUCUUCUCUUUAGAUUUGCCCUGAAUUCGAAGUUUUGGACCCUCCCUUCGAAAUCCUUUGGAGCAAAAUCAAACAUAAAAUUUUUGAACGUCUACAAUGGUAGCGAAGGGCUUGAGCAGAUACCAUUAUUCAGUAUUCCUGUAGAUUAGUUAUGAAAAUCAUUUGGUCUACUUUGGGAACUAGAAUUUUUGGAGAGAGGCUUUUUUUUUUUUUAAAUGCACUUUAAUUAGAUGAUAAAAAAAGAUUUAAUCCAUAUUUGCUUCCACUUCCAAUUCUCUUUAUAGUGUUUGUAUCCAAGGGAGUAACAUUUUCUUCUUUUGUUUUUUGGCUUUUUAUUGUAACAUUUUUUUUAAAAAAAAAAUCUUGAUCAUUUAAAAACAAACCAUAUACUUUUAAAUAUGGAACUUACAUGCAUAUUAAUCCAUUUCAAUCUAAUAAUCCAACAUUUAAAACUUUUGAUCACAUGGCUUAUUGUAAUAGAAACAUAGCUAAGUGAAUCACCUGAUAUACUCUAACUAAUCCCAAAAAAUAGCAUAACAAUAUUCUAAAGUUAAAAAGUUGCUAAAUAUCUCAAAUUAAAUGAAUUAAAAGACUAGAUAACAAAAUCAACUGCAACUUCAAACUAAAAUAGGUUGUAGUUCAAGCAAACUCAAUACAUGUUUAAUUAGUACCAUAAUAAAAUAGUUUAACUUAAUAAAAAAAGUCUACAAAUUAUAGUAAUCAUGUAUUGGUUCACCAAAUGGAGACUCAACAACAAUUGAUUAAAUGCUCUACUUUUUGUCAAGCUAUUGUCAAAAGUGAUGUUUUAUAAACUAUCAGGAUGACACAAAGACAACUAAAGUGUGAUGUAGAUAGAAAAGGAAAUAUUUAUUAAAACUAAGAAGGCAACAAAUAAGGAAGUGUGGACAAAUAGCUAGUAAUGGGUUUUUAUAGUAGUUCCAAUAUUCAUGACCUUUAAGAAUAUUAUACAAUGCAAAGAUAUUUAUUUGGCUAUUUUUUAUAAAAUAAAUUGUCAAUUUAGUUGGUAGUUUUUUUAAUAAAAUAGAUUAUCAAGCUGGUUUAUCCCUCCUAAUCACAAUUCACCCCUCUUUCUUGUUCUCUACUCUUUUGUGUCUACUUGUUUUAUUGCUUUUUUGCUUUUUUAAUUUUAUUUUUUUCAAAGCAUUGCUAUGAAUAUUCUUAUGUAAUUCAUGGGUAAAUUAUAAUUAAUGGUUCUAGGUUGAACAAGGCUAUAAUUUUUUUCCUUUUUCUUUUACACAUCACAAUUGAGGAGACACUUUAAGUGCUUGUCAACUCAAAUAAUCCCUUAAACUAAGUCCACUUUGACAACUAAUGCUUGUUAAUUUUUAUCUUGUUAGCUAAGCAUGCAUCAACAUAAGCAAUGAUGACAACAUAUAUUGUAGGUUUAUCUUAAUAAAGAUUUUUUUUAAUUUUUUUUUGGCCUACAUUUUACAAAGAAGAGAUUUAUUCCCACAAGAGAAAAGGAGUCCCAUAAUUUUUUGGAGUCCAAGAAUGAGGAUAACUAUGGUGGCUAGGGUCAGGAUAAGUACAACUAAGAAUGUUAAUAUCAUAGAAUAUCUCAAGCUAACGUGCCUAUCCAAUUGAUUUCCUUGAACAUGACUAGUAAUUGCAUAAUAAGGAAUGAAAGAAAAAUUGAAUUGUCAAAAAGCUUAGGCCUUUGUUUAAUUUGUGGCUUUUUUUUAUUCUUUUUAGGGUCCAUUUGGUUCAAAGAUAACAAGCAUUGGAAUAAAAUUCUUUUUAUUUUUGGAAUAGCUUCCUUUUCUGGAAUAAUCAUGAACAAAAAUAAAAUUGUGUUUAGUUUGUAAUGCUGAUGUUCUCAGAAAUAAUUUAAAUUAUAUUUGAUUAAUUUUAUAGAAUAUUAGAGGAUACUGGAUAAAAGUAAUGGUUGAAUUUGAUAUAAAAUAUGAUUUAAUAAAAAUAAUUUAUUAUAAUAUUUAAAUAUAGUUUAGUAUUGUAACAAGAGAUUUGAGAAAUUUUCUGUAUAUUAUUCAUCUAAAUCCAUUCUAAUAUUUAAAUAUAGUUUAGUAUUGUAACAAGAGAUUUGAGAAAUUUUCUGUAUAUUAUUCAUCUAAAUCCAUUCUCUUAUAUAGAGAGAGGAAAAGCUUUACAUGGAAGUACAGGAUUAUAUCCUGUUAUACAAAGAAAUAAAUAAUACUAUCCUAAUAAGAAAGUAACAUACAUAGUAAUAUAUAUAACAUAAAUGGUAACAUAUAUUAUAUAUAUAUGGUAUGUAAUAUAUAUGGUAACAAGUAUAAUAUUUAAGUAUAAAUAAUAUGUAUUAAUAUAGUACAAUUAAUAAUUUUAUAAUAAAAAUAUUUAUUACAAUAUAUAAUAUGUCAUGUCUAUAUAAUUUACUUUAAUUCAAUUUAUAAUAUUAAUAAAGCUUGGAAUUAAAUCUUAGAAUAACACCAUUACUCCAAAAGGGUAGAAUAGUGAAUUUUUUUAUUAAUAGUCUUAAAAAAUACUAUAAUUAUAAAAGUAGACCUUAAAAAAAAUAUUUAUAAAAUUAGGUUUAUAUGGUAAAUGAUUUACCGCUUUUUAAAUGCGGUAAAUCAUUAACCAGUUUCUUCAAAGGAUUAAAAUUAUUUUUUGUGUUUAAUACUAUACAUCUUUUAAAGUUUGGAUAUAGGAAAUAUAUAAAUUAGGUUAAAAGCGGUGAGUCGUUCACUACUUUUGAUAAAAGCGGUGAAUGGAUUCACUACCUAUUUUUACAAAUAAAAAAUUUAAAAUGCCUAUUUUUAUAUUUAAAAUAUUUUGCAGGCUUAGUAGCCCAAAAUCUUCCUAGAAUAGUUCUUAGGAAACAUGCAAUUAUUAGAUUUUUUUGGCAAUAAGAACGAAAAAAAAUGAUAUUAAUUUUUUUAUUUUGAGAGAAAGAUACUAUGCUAUCCGCUUUUUUAUUUUAAAAAAAAAAACUUAUUUGAAAAUAUGAAACAGCUAAGCUUCGAACUUAUGAACCUCGGAUACCAACCAUCGAGCCCUCUGUUAUGGUAUUAAUUUUUUCUUUCGCUUUUUUAGGUUUUUGAGAGAGAUAUAGUUUAGCAUUUUGCCGGAUUGCAUUGCAAGCUCCCCAAAUAGCCAAUGAUGACAAUAAUAAUAAAUUUUUUUUAAUAAAAUUAUAAAAAAAAACAAUAUAAAAAAAGUCAUAAUAAUGCCGAGUUUAUGAGUUGUUAAUGUACGUUGAUAUAUUUACAAUAUAAAAUGCUUUGGGUGGUUUGAAAUUAAGGACCGUUACCGCGAUGCAAAGCAUUUUACUUAUCAAAAAUAAUAUCCACGUUCAAGAACAUAGAAGUCAAAACAAUUAUUCCACGGCAUAAUCCAUAAAUAAACCUCCAAAGCCCCAAACAUGGGGAAUGCAUAUGCUUUUUCUUUAAAGCAUCCAAAAUUAAAUAUUCAUGUAUGAUAAAAAAAAAGUAGUUCAUUGAUUACGGUAUUGUAAUGAAUAAAGAAUUAAAUACUAGGCGUAUUGCUCGUGCAAUGCGUGGAGGCAAUUUAGUUUUAAUUGUAAAAAAAUAAUAAGUUUCGAACUUUGGGGUAAAAACAUACUUAACUUAUCUGAACUAUGGACUAUUUUGUAUUUGUUAUUCAACCUUUCAAAUUUUAAUUUUAUCUGAACUAUUGACUAUGGGUAUAAAAAAUAAAAACCCGACGAAUAUGGAUACAGGUAUGGACUUUGUAUUUACCCGACCCGAACCCGAAUAAAUUAUAUAACAUUUUGAUAUCUAAAGAUUGUUUUAGAUAUUUAAAGAAUGUAUUGUUAUCUUUAACUAUUUGAAUUUGUAUUUUUCUUAUUCAAAUAUUGAUAUUGUAUGGCAUGAAAGUUUUAAUAUUGUAUUUGAUUGUGUUUUCAAAAUUUUAUUUUGAAAAUUUUGAUUUUACUAUAAUAUAUUUUGAAAUAUGAUAAAGAGAAAUCAUUAUUUUGGGUACGGGUUUGGAUUCGGAUUUCAGGUUUUUGGUUGGGUUCGGAUAUGGGUAUGGAUUUUUGAAACCCGACGGGUUCGAGUUCGGCUUCGGAUUCGGGUUUUAAUUUGGUUUUUAGGUUCGGGUUCGGAUUUUUGAAAAUCCGACCCAAACACGACCCAUUGACAUUCCUAGUGUCACCAUUGGUAUUAGAGCCAAUUAUCAGCCGAAAGUGUGAGAUGAAUCUUGACUGAGCCAAAUUAUAUAGUGGGGAGAGCGAGACUCUAAUACUGAUGACUGUUGUUAAUGAAGUGCGGCUCACCACAAUGUCGGAUAAGCUAGCGAGAUGAAUCUAAUAUCGCCUGGUAUUUAUAAAUCUGAGUCUGACGAGAAUAUCAGAACUUAAAGGAAGAAGAAUGUGAGAUUCCAAGUAGAUAUAAUAAGACUAAAACUCUUAAUCUGGUUAUAGCAUUUUGGCGGCACCUAAAUCCAAAAGGUUAAAAAAGUUAAGCGUGCUAAGAUAGAAGUAGUCUUAAGAUGGAUGACCCCAAAGUAACCCAUAGUAUUUUGAUUGUAAAAUUUAAGCUACUUACUAAGUUUAAUAAAUUUAUAAUUGCAAGAAUUGCAAGAAGUAUACUAACUAAACCUGUAAAGAUAAACAACAUAUUCAAAUUUUUGACAUCAAAGCGUCGUUAACUAAUUCAAAUCAAACAAAAUGAAAGGUUAGCAAGAAUUUUUAAAUUUUGAAAGGUUGGAUAGCCAAUUCAAAAUAGUCUAUAGUUCAGGUAAAGUAUGUACAUUUUUACCUAAUUCCAUUAUGUGAGUUAUUGCAAGAAAGAAAGCUUAACCUAAAUAACUUCAUUAUGUUGAUUAAUCUUGAACAUUGAUUGAUAGAGGAGGUUAGAAAUAUGAUUGACAUAAAUUGAUUAGAAAGAGUUUCCUUGAACUCUUGUUGUCUGAGUAAUUUCUGAAAAUAGGUCUAUUUUAUAUGAAAAAUAGAUAUGUAAUAACAAAAUUAAGUCUUUAUUUAAAAUUUUGAAUAGCUAACCAAAUUCCAUAAAAAGAAAUUCCAGAUUUUUCAAUCACAAAAAUUGCAAACCACAAUAGCAACAAAUUGAGAGCAUAGAAACAACUUACAGGAGUCAAAAUAAAAGCAAAGUUCUAUUAAUAUUAGCUUGUUAGUAUUAUUUCUCACAUCAUUUCAUCCACUAACUUAAUGCCUAAGCUUAUGAUUUUAAUUGUGUUAACAGAAACAAACUUGCCGAAGAAAAAUUUAUUGCCAAAUUGAAAGACAUUACAAUGAGAGAUCGAGAGCCUCAAGCAUUUCGCCCAGAGUUCUCCGUUGGGAGUUGACCUUCUAAAAGACGCUAUGCCGGUCACUUUAGAUAGACCAAACUUUGAACCGUCAAGAAUGAUUGUGGGACAUCAGAUCGUCCUAUAUAUAAGAUAUAACUGUGCUAAAAUAACUCCGUUAUAAUAUAUUGGGCGGUGGCUAGAUCCAAGAAGUUAAGAAGGUUUAGUACGCUAUAAUUGUAGUAGUUCUAGGAUGAUGACCUUCCGAAAAGUGGGCCGGUCGGCUAAGAUUAGCGAAACGAGUCUCAUAUUGCCAGGUGGUUGUGAUUUUCUAAAUCUGGCUAUAGCAUGUUGGAUGGUGGUUAAGCACAAAAAAUUAAGAAAGUUAAGCAUGAUAGGACUAAAAUAGUCCUUGGAUUGAUAACACCUGGAAGUGGAACGUCACAAUGAUUCAAUUUAGUAAAAUUAUUAUGUCCUGAAGGACUGGAAUCUUGACUAAGAAUCUGGAAUACUACCAAACUCUUUGAACAAUCUGCUGAAGGAAAAAACUAAACAAAAAACUAAACCUCCUGAAAUUCUCGAUAUAUUCUCUAAAUGAAACUACCAAAAACUAAUAAAAUGCUGAACCUACUGAAUUUGUUCGUUACUAUCCUAUUUUUUCUCUAAAUCUCUCGAGCUCUUAAAUUUGUGAAUGAUUAGAAAAAGAAAAGUCGUAUCUUUCUCCGCCAAGAUAUUUAGUCUCUUUUAACCCAACUCCGAACCCACCGAAUUUUAGCCAAAUUCUAAAAUUUCCGAUCAUACUUAUUUCCUUUCCUGAUGAUGAACGGCCAAGAUUAUUUCAACUCGACGCCCAAAAUGCUUAUCUUCUAUGCCUCAAUACCAACCAAGAUUAACCUUACUUCCUCAAAAUCCGACGGCAGAACGACAGAAUUAUGAUGUCAACAAAUUGUAAUUAGGUGAAUUGCAAAGGUCAUGUAUUGUGAAAGCUAAUUAAUUAUGAGCCCUAAUCAGUAUAGGUGAGAUCCAAAAGGAGAAAAAGUACAAAAUCAAUCUGAUUUAAAAGCGGUACACUUUAUAUGAUGUUAAUGUAUUAACAUAAAUGACAUGAAAAAAAAAGUAUUAUAUUAUGACACAUUUAAGUUGUUACAUUAAUUUACCAAUAUAUUAACAAUCUGAAAGGAAUUUUUUAUGGGAACUAAAGCAUCUUUCUUUUUUUUUUAAAAGGGAAAGUGGGUGAGGUUGACCCAUUUGAUUGCACCUUUUCGGCUAAUUUAUGAUUUUUGAGAGUGCCAACCAAAAAACUAGGGAUUCACAAGAGAAAUUCGAAAAGAAAUAUCACUUUUGGCUCAUUUAGGCUCCUGAUAAUAUGGUUUUUCAAAAAAAGAAAAAAGAAAAAAUUGUAAACUCCUUAUUUAAAAUAUUAAAAGUAAGAAAAAAAAAGACUGUUUUAUUGCCAAUUAAAUUUUACAGAAAUACACAGAUUGCAAACUAUUCAUUAUCUGUGGGUUUCCCCGAUCUCCACAACGCAGGUUCACCCAUUAAUUCGAUCUAUUGCAUUAGAGUUUUCUAUUUGGUAUUGGAUGAAUUAAAUCUAAGUUCGGAGCUCAAAUAAACACUAACAAAUAAAAUUGUAAAGGCUCAUUCUAAAUCGUGUGUUGUUGUUGUAAUUGAUAUGUUUCAAAUUCUAUGUUAAGAUUGUUUAAUAACUUUCUAAUAGAAAGCUCAGAUCAAGAUUUCUCUUUUUAUUUUCAUUUGCUAGUUAGCCCUUCACCCAAGGCAAAAUUGAGAAAUCCGAAUUCUUGUGUAAGUGAUAGAAAUAUUAUUAGGAUCUUAUCUUAUUCGAAUUCUUACAAAACUUUCUCAUGUGAUAAUGUUAUAACAUGAUCCUUUUAAUAGCUAAAUCAAAAAUUGCUACACUAAUCAAAAUGAUCUGGCAUGAUCAGCACGUGUCAUCCGCAUCAACACAUAAAAUAGGGUGUGUAUCAAGAUAUAUCAGUGUGUCACAUUUUGAUAGCACCUUACUACGCUUUAUGUCAGUAGCACGGGAAUACACAAACUGAAUAAAUUAAUUGAUAAUAACCAAAUAUUACAACAAUAAAACAUUGAAUUUUUCGUUCAUUUUAUAAGUUUUUAUUUUUUGGAUGUGGUUGAACUAAAUGCAACGACAUAGACAUGGAGCCUUAGUAAAUUGUUAGUUUAGUGUCACACUUUGAUUACUUACUAAUUUAAUACUAAUCGCUAUCUACUAUUUAGACAAUUUGAAAAGAAUUAUUUAUUAUCUUAGGCUCAAAACCCCAAUCGCACUAGCAAAAGAAUCCGCAGUUUACAGCACAUGAGGGGCACUAUUAACACACGACCAUGAUACAGAGAUUGACAAUGAAGAGUGCAAAAGCACCGCUAAAUGUGCCUAAAAAAGUCUUCCAAAAUAUUAUCAAUAAACUAGUAUUAUAAAUGUGAGAGGCGAAAAUUUGGUUCACCCUCUCAAAUUUCAAAUAUGAUACUUAACAAGAGAGAUUAAGUCUAAGAAGCUGAAUCGAUUAGUUAUUAUUAUUUAUAUGUAUAAUACUGAUACCUUAAUAAGUGCUUGGUGCUUUUACAAGCACCGCAGCUAGACUCUAUAUAUAUAUAUAUAUGAGCAGGACUACUGUGCUAUUAGGAGCACAGCAACCUUUAUGCUCCUAACUUUCUAACCACCCAUCAAAUUUGAUGGGUGGUUAGAAUGAGAGGAAAAAGAGAUAUUGGAGAGACAUAUAUAUAUAUAUAUAUAUAUAUAAUGUAGAGCUACGUAUGCUAUCAGAAGUAUAGAGAAUUUGAUGGUUCCAAUUUUUUGACCUUUGGAUCAAAAAUUAUAUGGUUGGGAUGAUUGCUGUCCCCCUAGGAUUGAGUAGUACCUCUAGAAUUGAAUGGUCCCCACAGGAUAAUAAUAUUAAUCCAAAAGUUAGAAAUAAUUAAAAAAACUGAUCUAAAGACCAAAAAAUUGAAAGCACCAGAUCUUCUAUGCUUCCGAUAGUAUAAUAGCUUUACUCUUUCUCUCUCUCUCUUUCUAUAUAUAUAUAUAUAAUAUAGAGCAUUUCUCUUUUACAGAGUGCCAAGAAAUAUGGAAAUACAAAAAGUCAUUACAUAGAAAGGUGGAUAAUACAAAAGUGAUCCUACAUCUAAAAAAUGAUAUCCAGCUAAGCUUUGGAGUGGGAAUUAAUUAAUCGAAAUAAUACCAUUUUAGAGAUUAUCUAUAGGAUAUAUAGUCACCUAUCAUAAUGAUCAUCUUAUAGGGGAAAAGGGUAACCCUACAUAUAUAUAUAUAUAUAUACAUAUAUACAUGGAAAGGUUAACCUACAGUGUGACAUGCAAGGAAAAAGUUUUAUGUUAAAGCAAUUUGACCUAUACUAACACCACAUUGAUACUAUACUCCUAUGCAUAAAGCUUAAGCCAUAUGCUUCAACAAUUACAGUAACUGCAAAUUGGAUUUAACUAUGUAAGGAAUGAUGAUUCCUAGAAGAAGACUUGUAGGUAUUUAGCCCUAUGAUUUGAAGGAUGUUAUUAUUUAUAUAUUUAUGCAUAGUCUAAAUCCAGUGAAUUUGACUUAGUGAUAAUGAUCAGGUUAAAUGAACCUUUAUAUUAAAAAUAAAUAUGCGUAUGUAGUGGUAUGCUUCGUGAAAAUCAUACAAAAAGUUUAAAACUUUAGAUACGGACUUGAAUGAGGUAAUUAAUUGGUUUAAUGUAGUUGUGAACUUAUAUGUAAUUAGCUAUGCUGGCCCAAUGGUCCUAAAUUGUAAUUAAAUUCUAAUAAUACAAAUAAUUAUAAUCUUGGAAUUAAUAAUUAUGUUGAGUUUGUAUUUAAUGAACUCUCAAUUGAAAGAACUCAUGAGUGCAAAAGAGAAGUAACUCCCAUUUUAUAAAAGCUAGUUAUGCUUCUAAGGUCAAGGUGGACACUGUAUUUUGUUCGAAUGGUGUUUGAGAGAUUCAUUAAUUUAUGGGAAUAUUAAUCUUUCAUCUCAAAAUUAAUUUUAGGAUAAAUUUCAAAUACCACCAUGUAAUUUUGCACUUUCUCACUUUAGUACCAUAUGAUUUAAAGUGUAUUAAUUUAGUACUAUAUGAUUUUAUUUUUAUCUUUUCGUCAGUCUCUUCAUUAACUUUUCGUUAAAUCAUAUAUAAAAAACUUCCGAUACCCCACCCCACUUAUAAUUUAUCAAAUAUUUAUUUAGUACUUUUUAAUUUUAACUUUGUCACUGACUUAACGAAAACAAUUAGUGAAGAAAAUAAUCAAAAGAGAAAAAUAAAACAGGAUACGAAAUUGAUACAUUUUCACAAAAUACUAAAAUAAAAAAAUGCGAAACACAUGGAUUAUAUUUAAAAUUUUUUCCUUAAAUCUUAUGCUUACCAUCAGAUUGAACGAGAGUGCAACGUUGCUGCAUCUCUACGUGAAAUUUAUUAUUAUUAUUUUUUUCAAUCAUCCCCUUUGUUACUUCUUUUUUUUUUUUCCUUUUUUUUACAAAUUAAGUCGUUUUCAAAAUCAAAACCACUCUUACUUUUGUUACAACUUACAACUUAAGUUCAUAUGUUAUCGUUGCAAUUUACAACCACAUUUUAUGAAAUGAAAAUAAAUACAAUAAACCAAAGUUAAGAGAUCUACCCGCCGAAUAAGACAAACUCACAAAAGCCCAAAGAUGAAACAUAUUAAAUAGUCCUCUUCUCUUCUGAGUUCUGAUUAGGGGAGCAUUUUGUUCCAAACUCGACCAAAAGCCGGACCCCGAUCCAGUACUACUACACAGAUUACACAUCCUGUGUUUGGAUCAAAACACGACAGAAACACAAUCCAAAUUCGAUACUACAGAUCAAAAUCAGCUCCACAAUCAAAUUUUAGUAAUACUGACACGGAAGAUACUCGCAGAAAACCAGACUAGGAACUUCCAAGGACUGAUAUUCACAAAACCCCACAAGUCGUGGGGUAUCACAGGUCUCUUUCUUGUAGUCCUAACCCAUCAGGUAACACAGCAUGCGACGAAAAUGAUGUAAAGAGAGAAAAAAACCAAGUAUCUCAAUAUUCAGCAUUCGGCCAACAACCACCAACUACAAUCCAAACACCGCAAUUCCCCAUUUCUAUCAUCUAUCUUUGACUCCGUAGAUAAUAGGUUUUCUUUCAUGAGUCUUAAGUGUCCUAAUGAUAACAUUUAAAUACACAAAUCUAAGGAUCAAAAUUCAUUUUCAGUGCCGACUUUAUAAUUUCAACUGUCAUUUCAUUUAUCUAUCUAAAGAAACUACCUUACCCAGUGGGUGAAACUCCAUUAAAAAGAAAAAUUCUGUUGAACCUCCUAACGCAAAUGAAACAGUUAAGAGAAAGAAAAAGAGACUCAUUUCUGGCGACCGGCUUCCACAGGCUCGACCACUUCAGCUUCAAAUGCAUUCGCGUAUUGGGGUUCAACAGGUUGGCUUGGUUGCGGUUGGUAUACCUCAGCAGCUGCAGGAGCCCAUUUCCCGGAAAACGCAGUUCCCAUCAUCUCAUAUAUCUUACCACUGAGCUCCUUUGGAUUAUCAGGCUGCGUAGCAGUACAAGGACAUAAUUAGCUUAAACUGAAACAAUAUAUAAAAUAUGCGAAAGGUUGCAAACAAGGAUUUAAGUGCUGUGACACGGGGUCGUGCCGGAAACUUACCGGCACGGUACGGCACGGUGCGUGCCGAGCCGUGCCAGUCAAAAAAAUCUUGCGUGCCGACACAUAAUAGCAUAAAAAAUCUUGCGUGCCGACACAUAAUAGCAUGAAAUAUUUAUUUUCUUUAACAACAAAAUAUUCUAACUAUUUAUUAUGUCUUUUUAUUACAUCUUUUGAACUUUAUUGUGGAAAUUACUUACUAAUUUAAAAAAUAGAGGGUUUUGAGUUAUGCCAUCGGCACGGAGUCUAUAUCGUGCCGGUAUCUUGUUGGUACGGUACUGCACGGUGGAUACGGCCCGUGCCGACGGGCACUUAAAACCUUGGUUACAAAGUUGCACAAUUUCCCCAAUAUUAAACAACAUGCUUCCCAAUGCACGGACUCAUAAAUAUGAAAGUAGGUGUAUUUAAUUAUUUAUUGGCAGGUAAAUCCCAGUAAUCUAAAAAUACAGCAACACAUAGAGUAAGGGACCUAACCAAGCAUAAAAAUGGUUUAUGAAGUAAUAAAUACACCCACUGAUAUUACAAAAAAAAAAAAAGGGUUGAGAGAUGAACAUGAACUCACAGUGAAUCCACUGGAAAUCAAAGCAGUUUCGAAUAGAAGAUCUACAGCUCUUAAGGCCUCAGGAUCAUCAGGACAGGUCUUGGAUGCAACCUGCAACACCCAUAGAACAAUGUAAGUUUGAUUUAUUCUUCUGAUUUUAUCUGAUUGCAAGUAAUGGAAGCUUCAGUCAGCCACCUACAAACUAUCGACACGAAAGCUCCUCACUCUGGAAGUUUUACUGAUAUCUUUCCCAUGCAUUUCUUAUAUUCUAAUGCUUGGUAAAAUGUUUUGUAAGUUAAAGAAAUUAGUUAACAAGCAGUUUAGUGCAAGAGGCUCCAGCAACUUGGAAGUUCUUCUCAUCAAAAACAGAGAUAACUAUGACAUGAACUCAAUAACUAAUCUAAACUUCAACUAGGCUUACAAAAUAAUUUCAUCAGCAAAUAAGAAAAAGCUUACACUUAAGUUCUUGAUAAUUGGAUGUUCUGGAUUAAUUUCGAAGACUCUUCUCGACUUCAUGAACUCCAAACUAGAAGGAUCUCCCAUAGUUUGGGCCCUCAUCAGCCUGAAGAAAAGUGGCACAAGGAAAUGAAAUCAUAAAAUAGCAUACUUAAUACCCAGUAGACCAUGUGCACAUUUUGUCUUUUAUUCUUCCUCUCAAGUUAUAUGGGACUGAGUGCACCAGCAGAUGGAUUCUCCAUUCUUGUGAGUGUUGGAUAGCUUGCAUGUCAUACUUUAACAAGAAAAGGACUGAAAGAAGUUACAAACAACUUUUGUUUUUCCUGGCAAACAAAUACUGGAGAUACGGACUUCAAAAAUCCACCAUCCUCAGGUGCCUUCUAUCGCAUAGAAUUUGAGCAAGAAAACUAAUAAAACAAAAGGUGUAAGCACGGUCAAAUGAGGCCUUAGCUUGGUAUGACAGACCAACCUCUCCAUAUUGGCGGACCAGCCAAACUUGCCAGUAACAAGAACACAUGGCGAGGUGCUAAGUCGGUUUGAAAUAUCAACACGAGCAACUUUCUCUCCCAGUCUCUUCUUGAUCCACUCGCAUGUCUGACUGAAUUCCUGCUUGACUUCCUUCUCCUUUUCCUCAUUUUUAUCACCUAAAAUCCAUUGAAACACAUCAUAAAUAAGAAAAGUAUGACAAUCACACCUAUCAUGUUUGUCCUAAGAUUACUGAACUAAGGAUCACAAUGGAAUUGAAACAUUUAGGAGGUGUUUGGAUUGGGUACAAGAGGGGGGAUAAGAGGGUUAUCCCCCCCUCUUGUACCCAAACACCUUUGGAGGGGGUGGGAACAACUUGUUCCCACCAAGGGGCCCCCCGGGAGAGAGAGAGAGAGAGAGAGAGAGAUUUUUGUUUUAAAUUAAAAUUUAUAAUUUAUAAUCUCAAAAUUAAAAUUUAUAAUUUAAAAUUAUAAAAUUUAAAGUUUAAAUUUUAAAUUUGAUAUUUUUAAUUUUUAAGUUUUAUAUUUGAUAUUUUUAAUUUUUAAAUUUUAUAUUCGAUGUUUUAUAUCUUUCAAAUUUAAAUUUGGUCUUAAAUUUAAAAUUUGAUAUUUAAAAUUAAAAUUUUUAAAAUUAAAAUUUUAAAAUUUAAUUUCAAAUUUUAAAUUUUAAAAGUUAUAAUUUUAUAUUUAAAAUUUAAAAAUUUAAAUUCAAAAAUUAAAAACUUAAAUUCAAGUAUAAUGAGAGGGGUAAUAUCAUUAUUUUCUAUUUAUAACCAUCAACUAUUUCUCUUAUUCCCAAUAACCAUCCAAACACAAUUUUUCUAGUUCCAGCUUAUUCUCACAUUUUCAUCCAAACAAAAAAAUACCCUUAUCUUACAAAAACCCAUACUUGUACCUAUGCCCGGUAUAACUUGUUCUUGCUUAUACCCAAACCAAACGAAGCGAAGCAAUUUAUCUUGAAUUUGAUAAGCAGGUAUUAUUUAUUUUACCAAUAAAACUAGAAUUGGUUUAACAGAUUCUACCGACAAGCAUCUAAAGGCGCUUGAAAUAUAUGUAGCACUAGGCAGAGAAUUUUUACAAGCAUCUAAAAACACUUGGAAGUAGCUAAUAGAGAAUUCAUAACUAACCCAGGUCCAAAUCUUCCUUGCUAAUAUCAACAAAGUUCUUUUCCUUGUAGGACUUCAGAUUUUGUAUAGCUACCUCAUCCAUGGGAUCAACUAAAAAUAGCACCUGCAGUGAAUAGAAAGCUAGUUUCUUUUUUCCCCAGAAAAAUUAUAGGUGGAAAUGACUGACUAUAUCAUUGCAAAAUAUACCUCAAAAUCCUUCUCGACAAGCCUCUCCAGAAAUGGAGCAUUCUGUGCGCUAGUCAAGCUAUCUGCAGCAAUAUAAUAGAUAUCCUUUUGCUCGGGCUUCAUAUUCUCGACAUAUUCAUCCAAGCUAAUUAACUGUUCUUCGCUUUGAGAAGAGAAGAACCGAAGAAGAGGUGCAAUUCGCUUGUGGUUUGCCUGGUCUUCCAUGCAACCCAGUUUAAGAAAUUUGCCAUAAUUCUCCCAGAACUUGUCAUAAUCCUGAUGGAAAUCAAAAGUAAAAACAAUUAGAAAUAUGAUAGAAAAAUCACAAAGCUUGAGGGAAUCGAGAAUUAGAACCAGCAACAGAAUAUUGUAGUUGAGAAAGGAGCAGCUUACAUCUUUGUUCUCACUCAGAGAAAUGCCUAAAAUCAUAUCAAAGGCCUUUCGGACCAAUCGUUUCCUCAUUAUGCGCACCUAUGUUGCAAUAUUCAUUAGUAACUUAAAUAAGAUUAAUUCAUCAAUUGUAUCUUGUCCUGCACUGAAAAAUCCAAGGUGUUCUUACAAUUCGGCUUUCUUGAAGGAUCUCCCGAGAGACAUUCAAAGGAAGGUCAUUCGAAUCAACAACACCUUUCACAAAGCUCAAGUAUCUUGGGAACUAAACCAAAAUAAAGCACAAAUCAUCAAAAUUACAAGGAAUUUAUUUACCAAAAAGGAAGCAAAAAAAGAUUGUCAGGAGGCGAUGAAAUCCUAACAUACCAGCUCCCCAUCGAAAUCAUCGGAAAUGAAAACACGUUUCACAUAAAGCCUUAUGUUCUUAGUCUUCCUGUCAAUCAUGUCAUCCUUUUUCACAGCAGGCACGUAGAGAAUUGAUCUAAAUUCCACCUCACCCUGCAUUAAGCAAUGACAGCAUGCUAGAAUAAAUAAAAAAACAGUAUUAAGAUAUGCAUUGUUUAGACUUUAUGCAAAUAGACAGGAAAUGGCAAAGCAUUGAAAUAUUAUCUGAGAAUUAAAUCAGACCAUAUAUAGCCAUAUAAAUCAAAUGAUGAGACAUAAGGAGAAAAACAUGCUAUAAAUUUAGUUUUGGAGGUCCUGAUUUUGUCGGCCUAUAAAGAUAUAGGAAUUAGUUACCACAGAAAACCAAAUCCAGAAAACAAUGCCUGGGAUUCCCUCAUCGUCACAACAAAGAAUUCAAACAACAUGCGAGAGCAUACUUUAUUGCAUGCUAGGCAAUUCUUUGUACAUCAAAAAGCUAUUGGCACACUUUGGGCUCAAUAACUUGUCGAACUACAAAGAGACUUGAAAAAUAUAAAGAGAUCAUAAGCCCUUCACUUCAUACAAUAUAUUUCUAGAGCAGCAUACACAUAGGCAACAUUCAAGACAAGCAACUUCUUUUAAGAUGAUAUACACACCUCUGUAGUGAAGUGAGAUGAAGCCAAAGGAUCCAAAUACUCAUUAAAAGUCUUUUUGAAAAAGUCAUUGUACUCUUCUGUUGUCACGUCUUUAGGGUUUCGAAGCUGCAAAGAAGAAUCAAUGAAAAAACAUAAUUUCAUUGGAUUCAAAAGGAAAAAAAAAAAUCCACAUUAUAAAACAGAACGGUAGGACCAAAAUUUGCACAGAAGAACAAAAAAAAAAAAUUACCCAAAUAGGUUGUGUUUCAUUUGUGAGUUCCCAGUCCCAGUACCUCUCUAUAACCUUUUUAGUUUUCUUUUUCUUCUGCAUCACGAUUAGGUAUAAGCACAAAAAUUAAUUUCUUAUAAGGAAUUGCUAAUUUCCCAUGUAUCAUAAUCAUCAGAAGAAGUCAAAAAAUAGUAUGCCAAACGACAUAACAGUUACCUCAGCUUUAGAGUCAUCACCCCCCUCCUUAGCUUCAGCUGGAUCCUCAUCAACCUCAACCUAGUUAAGUGCAGGAAAAAGGAGAAAAAAGAGACAACCGAAAUUCAGCUUAUUAUAGGACAAAGAGUUAAGCUACUUCCAAAGGUCUGUAAGAUUUCAUCAUGAGUUGCAAAGGACGGAAUAAAAUCUUAGGCGAAGAUAGUCAAGAAAUUUUAUUAACUAAUUCUUACUUCUUUCGUGUAGCCUUUCUCUUGCCACGUGUAGAUUGGGAAAGAAACAAACUGCGAGUAAUUCUUCACAAGUUUUUGAAUCUUCUCAGGAUGAGCAAACUCCUUGUCAUCACGCUAAAAGGAAAGAGCAUGCGGAGAAGUUCAAGAAUAAGAGUUGAGAUGAUAGUAAUGAGUUAGCAUACAUAAACGAAUUCACAAGAAACCUUGAGGUACAAUGUAAGACGUGUUCCUCUUGGAAGAAGUUUAUCUGGGUCAGUCUCUUCUCUGAUGGUAAAAGAACUGGCACCAGCCUCACCCUCCCAAACAUACUGCUUAUCCGAUUUUGGGCUCUUUGUUGAAACAACCACCUGUUUCAACCAAAUGGAGCAGUUAGAAAAAGAAAUAAAUCACAAUUUGUAACUGGACAACACACAUAAGCAGAAAUAAAGAGAGAAAGGAUUAUAGCCUAUUUGCCUCACUACUCAAACAGCUUCUCUGCUCCAAGAAGUACCAACCAAGCAUCCCCAAACGAAAAAGGGAGCUUCAAUUGUGGCAAGAAGCUAAAAUAAGCUUCUUGCUGUCAAAAUAGAAGUGCCAAGAUGAAGCUUCUCAUUCAGCUUAAGCUCUAGUGGAAAUUUGGUUGAAAAUGAGGUUACUACUACUGCUUCUACAAACAGAAUUACUAAAAUAGCACUUCUACCAUAACUCGAGAGAAAGGUCAAACAUUUCAAUCAUUCAAUGACAGAAUAUGGUUUAAGCAUACCUUGUCAGAAACAAGAAAUGAUGAAUAAAAACCGACACCGAACUGGCCAAUUAAAUUGCUGUCGGAGCCAGCUUCCUGACUCUCCUGUAACAAAAGAUGCAGCCUUUGUUAAUAACAUCAAAAAAACAAAAAUUGAUACUAAAAGACAGAAUUAAAAGAGUCUUUCCCGAUUUGUGAGACCUUCAAUGCCUUUAGAAACUUUGCUGUUCCACUAUGUGCAAUAGUUCCUAGUGAGUCAACAAGUUCUUCUUUGGUCAUACCAAUUCCAGUAUCACUGAACAUAAUAAAUUAAGAAAGUUAUAUAAAGCUCCACAGAAGGCAUUCUCAAGCAUGAAGAAGACAAAAUGAAGCUACAGAUAAUAUUAGCUCGGACAACACUCACGUGAUUGUGAUUAUUCCAUUGUCUUUGUCAGCCUGGAUGCGGAUAUCAAGAUCAACAGCUUCCUUCAGAAGUUCAGGCUCCGUUACACUCAGAAAUCGCAACUUGUCAAGUGCAUCACUUGCAUUGCUGAGAAACAAAGAAUGCAGCUGUAAAACAUAGUUUCUUUGCAUAAACAAACUUGACAGUAAAUCUAUAACAGAUUAAGCACCUAGAUGUACAUGAUUAUUAUCUAUAACUCUAUAAUGCCAAAAUUGCUUUACUGAAGUCAAAAGAUUGUCCAAGACAAACAAACACAGAGGCUUUGAAGCAGACUUAUAAUUGUUAUGCCACUCACCUAACCAACUCUCGAAGAAAUACUUCCUUGUUGCUGUAUAAGCUGUGAACUAUCAGGUCCAUCAAGCGACUAACCUGCCAAAAAUAUAAAUAAUGGUACAACAUGUAAAACAAUUGUCCCCAAGCUCACUGCUGUUUGUAUAUAAUAUAAUGAUUACAAUUACAAAGCACCUCAGCCUGGUAUUCAAAUUUUUCAAGUUGCGCGUUCGAUGUAUCAACUGCUGCAGUAGUUGAUUCAUAUCGUUUGCUAACAAUGAUACUGUUUUGCAGGUUUGUUUCCACCAUGUGACCAAGUCCAGUAUAUUUUGAUCCUGAGAAAGGCGAAAACCAUCUCCUCUGAAACUGAGGAAGUCUGUGCUCUUGUUGCGGUACCUAGCAGUGAGCAACAAAAAGCACAUGUUAGUGCAAACUUGAGGGAUUGUAAUAUUAGAAUGUGCAGACAUGUAUACUGGAGAUGAAAAAGACAUGAUUCAUGUAUGACAAUACAAAAAUUCUUUACAGACGAUCUCAAGACACAAACAGGAUAUGUGAAUGGAGAGUUACGCAAGAAUACUUCUAGAAGUACCAAGGUCUUAGUACUACCACCUUAUUUUCAUUGGGGGGGCAUCCGAAUAAAUGAUCGACACCAUUGAACAUGAUCAAGGACAUUCAAACUUUCUGGAACUGAAAUUUCGUUAAUUUUCAGCAUCAUUUCCCUAGUGAUCAAGUAGCUCCAUAAUUGGACAGUUAUUGGACAGUUUCAAUAUAUGAGGUGUUUUCCUAUGCAAUAGAUUAGGACAAUCCAAAUAGGUUGAAAUUUUUAUACAAAUUUCUUUUCCUAUCGAGAUCAAGGUCAAUACUGUGAUUUCAAGAUUAGCAAUUCUAUCAUAUAGGUAUGCAAGGUGAUUCAAUUUUGACCACUCAUUUUCCGGUCGCUUGACAAACUAGAAAGUGAUUUCAAAAUUUAUGAAAUUUGAUUCCUAAAAGGUUCAAAUUAGGGGUGUCAGCGAGCCGAACACGAGCGAGCUAGGGGCCGGCAUGAGCCGGACACGAGCUGGCUCGUUAAAGUAUCGAGCCGGAAAAUUCAGCUCGCAAGGACUAGAUUGGAUAUAUAUAAAAAAUAAAUUUAUAAAAUUUUACCCAUUAGAUUUUGAUCUAAUGGUUGAAACUUUACACAUAAAUAAGUCUUUUCUUAAUUGAGUUCGUCUUUAUAUUUUUAUUUUGCUAAAAAUCAAAUAAUAAAAAAUAUAUAUUAUAUAUAAUUAUUUAUUUAUAUAUAUAAAUAUAAAUAAAUAUAAAUUAAAUAAAUUAUAUAAAUAUAAAAUAUAUGUAUUCAAGCUGUUAUCGAGCCAAACACGAGCGAGUUAACCCCAACUUGUGUUCGGCUCAUUUAUUAAACGAGCUGAAAAAUUCAGCUUGUGUUCAGCUCGUUGACUAAACAAGCGAUUCGAUCUCGAGCUCAUUUCGAGUCGAACACGAGCUGGCUCGCGAACAGCAAGCUGGAUUGCCACCCCUAGUUCAAAUUCCCUAUAUUGAAAAUCAGGUGGAGGUAACAAGAGGUGAUACUUCUAAAAGCAUUCUACAAAAAGAAAAAGCUUAAAGCACAGAAUUACCUAUCACAAUACAACUAAUUAAUUAAGUGCUUGUUUUGAGCAACUGUUAAAACUUACAUGCUCAACCUAGUGCUCUCUUCUAAAAGCCUAUUAAAGAUAUACCAUGAAAUAAUGAUAUAAUAACAGAAAAUAUGUAUCCAUUCUCAAAUAGCCCCUCUCUUUUUUUGGGGGUUGGGGGGGGGGCAUAGACACCUUCUGAACUUCAUUUUUUUUUAUUUAAGAUAUUGCCCAAAGGGAAUAGCUUCAUUGAAUUAAACAGCUCUAUUGGCUGCAAACGGUUAACAGUUGAUAAAACACACAAUUCUUUUACUUGUUAAAGAAUUCAGAACAGCUAAUCUUAACAAAAUCAACAUUUGAUUAAACAUCAAUAAUAAAUUCAAAAAUUAAGCAGGUUUCAAUUAAAAGAAAAUUAGUUGACCAGCCUCGUUCAAUAUGACCAAUAGUUGAGGGUCUCCCUAUACAUUUUUACGUGUAAUAACUUUAGAAUGCAUGGCCAAAAGAAAAGGUAAAAUACAAGUUUGAUAAGAGUAAAAGCAAGUUUAUUUCAUUACAGAAAAAGGUCACCUGCUAUGAUGGAAAUGUAGAAUAUAAAUUAAUGAGAACCAAAAAAAAAGAAAAUGAAAAGAAAGAAGGACGCCGACACCUAAUACCCAAAAAAAUUGAGAAGUAAACAAAAACCUAAAGUAGCAUCAACUGACGAAUCAGAUAACAAUCAAUAGAACAAAGAGUAUCAUUUCACAAUCGAAUUUAAGCGAUAACGAGACAAUUUCGCAUCAAAACCAGCAAAACCCUAACUAAAUCCCACCCUAUUAAUUCGAAAACAAACACCAUAUAAGCUACGACAUCAAAGGGAAUGAUUCGAAUACCGAGCUCGAAAAGGAGGGGAGCGGAGGUGCUCGAGCUCGCGGCGAACGAAGCGGAGACGGGGAGAGGGGAGGGGGGCUGAAGAGGCGGCGGCGGCCGCGGAGGGCGCCGUCGCGCCGUAUCUGGCGGCGGCGGAGAGGGAUCGCCUGGAAACCCUAAGCAUUUUCUCUUCGUCGUCCUCUCGAGGGUUUCAAGGGUUUGCGAUGGAGAAUGGAGGAGGAGAAUUAGGGUUUUAGGAGGGAGUUUAUGGAGAAAUGGGCUUUGCAGUGGAGCUGCUUAUAAUAUGGGGGGGAGCUUCUGGAUACAAGAAGGGCACGUAGGGUGCGGGGAUCCAACGGCUGCGAUUGUGCGAAACGAUCCGGGCCGAGUUGGGGACUCAGUAGGCUCCGGAAGAGCUGAGAAAUAACAGCCUGCAUCUGUUGGGUAAGGAUAGGGGUGUAAAUGAGCCGAACACGAGUNUCCACGCACCCCCCACCUUCCUCGCCUCCAACCCCGCCAAGGCCGCGCCACGACUUUUUUUUUUUUUUGCUUUUUUCUUUUCUUUUCUUCUCCGACUCUUCUCCACCGUCUCCGACGACGAUGCCUCUCUCGUCCUUCUCGUCCUUCCCCGCCCUUCUCAUCUCUCCCUCUCCCUCAUUCUCUGCCGCCUCCGACGACGAUGCAUUUUCGCCGGCGCCGACGUCGACACCGUGGAGGUCACUGCGGCGUUACAGGCUCGGAGCGGGGGUCCUUAGCGGUGUCGUCGCCGGCACCGUGGCUGUUGGCAGAGAAGGUGACAAAAAAAAAAUAUAGAAAAAACAGAAAAAAAAAAUAAAGAUAAAAAAUUAUAUAAAAAGAAUGAUGAAUAUCAAAUUAUAUCGUUAACUGCAAAAAAAAUUAUAAGUUGCACUAUUUAAGAUGUAAACUGUAGCUUUAAGAUGAAAACUACACUCUUUAAACGAAAAUUACACUCUUUGAAAAAUAUUUACACUAUUUAUCUUUUUAUUACACUCUUUCAGAUGUAAACUGCAUCUAUUAAGAUGAAAGUUACACUCUCUAAACAAAAGUUGCGCUGUUUCUCCUCUUGUUGCACCAUUUUUUCUCUUGUUACACUAUUUUUUAUCUUAAACUGCACCCUUUUAAGAGAUAUUCAUACUGUUUCUCCUCUUAUUGCACCAUUUCUGUGUAAAUAAGAGGAGAAAUAGUGCAACAAGAGGAGAAACAGUGCAAGAAGAGAAGAAACUGCACUAUUUUAAGAGAUAUAUAUACUGUUUCUCCUCUUGUUGCACCAUUUCUGUGUAAGCAAGAGGAGAAAUAGUGCAACAAGAGAAGAAACUGCACUGUUUUAAGAGAUAUAUCUACUGUUUCUUCUCUUGUUGCACUGUUUCUCCUCUUGUUGCACCAUUUCUGUGUAAACAAUAGGAGAAAUAGUGCAACAAGAGGAUAAACAAUGCAAUAAGAGGAGAAACUGCACAUUUUUAAGAGAUAUUUAUACUGUUUCUCCUCUUGUUGCACCAUUUCUGUGUAAAUAAGAGGAGAAAUAGUGCAACAACAGAAGAAACAGUGCAACAAGAGGAGAAACAAUAUAAAUAUCACUUAAAAGGAUGCAGUUUAAGAUAAAAAAUAGUAUAAUUUUCAUUCAAAGAGUAUAAUUUUUAUCUUAAAAUAGCAGUUUACAUCUUAAAUAGUGCAACUUAUAAUUUUUUUUGUAAUUAACGAUAUAAUUUCAUCUUCAUCCUUCUUUUUAUAUAAUUUUUUAUCUUUAUUAUUUUUUUCUGUUUUUUCUAUAAUUUUUUUGUCACCUUCUCUGCCAACAGCUACGGCGCCGGUGACGACGCCGCUAAGGACCCCCCGCUCCGAGGCUGUAGCGCCGCAGUGACCUCUACGGUGUCGACGUCGGAGCCGGCGAAAAUAAAUCGUCGUCGGAGGCGGCAGAAAAUGAGGGAGAGGGAGAGAUGAGAAGGACGCGGAAGGGCGACAGGCGUCGUCGUCGGAGACGGUGGAGAAGAGUCGGAGAAGAAAAGAAAAGAAAAAAGCAAAAAAAAAAAAGUCGCGGCGCGGCCUUAACGGGGUCGGAGGCGAGGAAGGUGUGGGGUGUAUGGACGAGGGCAAGGGCAAGGGCGAGAGCAUGAGGGUGAGAGGCGAGACGGACCGUUUCUGCCUCCGCUCCGCCUCCGCUGUACCGGCGAGAAAAAAAAAAAAGAACGAGAGAAACGAAGAAGAGAGAGAAAGAGGAAAGAAAAAAAGUAAUAAUGGUAUUUUGGUCAGUUUGCUGAAAAAGCAGACCGAAUCUGCAAAAAUGAAAAAGGUGGCCCGAUUUUGCAAAAAUCCAAAAUAAGUGGAUUUUUUAUGCAAAUUGGCCAAAAAAGAAUUCUAACAAGUUGGUUUGCAAAAUCAAAUGUUUGAAAGAUUAAGUAACUUCAUUUAUUUAUUUAUUUAUUUUAUUUUAUUAUAAAAGGGAAUUAUUCGGGGGAAUACUUAAUCGCUUCCCUCCGAAUACCCGAACCAUUUCGCCCUCUCUAAACCCUCUUUCUCUCUCUCUCUCUCUCUCUCUCUCUCUUUCGAUCUCGAUCUCUCCUCCGUCCCCGCGAAUAUGCUCCGAAUCCCUGAGACGGCCGUGUGCAAUAAAGCGCGCGACCAAACCCUAGCCCCGAAAUGGAGGGGGAGAGGAGGGCGAGGAGGCGGAGGAGGAGGAGGAGGAGAUGGGGUGCCGGAGCUCGAAGCCCGAGGAGGCGUCGCCGGUGGUGGCGCUGUGCCGGGAGCGGCGCGACCUGAUCCGCGCAGCCGGGGAGCGCCGCUUCGCCCUCGCGGCGGCGCACGCAGCCUACUUCCGCGCCCUGGCGCGCGUCGGCGCCGCCCUCGACCGCUUCGUCCAGGAGGGCCUCGCCGCCGCGGCGGCGGCGGAGGCGGCCGCGGCGGGGGCGUCGCCCGUGCUCACGCUCCCCCCCUCCGAGGGGAAGGGCAAGUCCAAGCCCAAGAUCGACGGAUCCGAGCGCAAUGGCGACAAUGGCGACAGUGGCGGAGGAGGCGCGGCCUCCUCCUCUUCUCUCCCUUCGAUUUCUCGCUCCGCUUCGCGCGAUUCGCACCUACAUUCCCAUUCGGACUCGGAUCACGGCGAAAUCUCGGAGGAAAAUGGUGGAAUCGAGGUUGGAGCAGGUGGAGUACCACAAGGAGAAGCAUAUGGAGGAGGAGGAGGAGGAGGGUUUUCAUGGUCUAAUCCUUCUUACCCUUUUUAUCCUCCUUAUCCUCCUCCUUAUCCUCCUUCUUAUGCUCCUUUCUCCAAUGUUGGAAAUGUGAUCCCCAAUUACCACUACAUGAAGUCGAGUUCGACGAAACCAACCACAGUGUUCCAAGAACCCUACACUACUUACUCCAAUCAAGCAUUUGUGAGUUACGAUUACGAGGAUAAUUAUCCGAUUUAUGGUUAUUCCAUGGGCUCUACCAUUCCUCCUGUUCAAGAUCAGACUUUUUAUGAGAAUGCGGCACCGGCGAGUCCGCGAAGGGAAGCGAAAUCCACUGCUCCACCGCCGCCGCCGACGGCGGCAGCAGAGGGCUCCUCUUGGGAUUUCUUCAAUCUUUUCAAUUCUUAUGAGCAGUUGUUUCCGGGGUAUGAUCGGAGUGGGUACGCGGCGACUUCGUUGACAAGUAGCCCGAAUUCAAGCGAGGUGAGGGAGAGAGAAGGGAUUCCUGAUUUGGAAGACGAGACGGAGCAAGAGACGGUGAAAGAAGCAGCGAAAGAGAGGAAGGUGACGGGAAGUGACUCAGGAAAGAAGGGUUCCAGUGUUGGGAGUUCAAAAGGAGCCGCGGAACACAAAGAGGAUGAGGUGAAUGAUGAAGUUGUUAUAGAGAAUGAGAGUAUUCACUCCUCGGAAGAUAGCGAAGCGAGAGGGAGUGUAAAGGAGGAGCAGGAGAAGGAGGAAGUACAUGUGACGAAGGUUAAAGGAGUGAGCUUCGAGGACGAUACAUCAUUGGUUAGUAAUGGUAGCCGAGCGAGUAAAGAGAAUGUAAUGUCUGUUCAUGGGACGAGAGACGUCGCCGAAGUGGUGCAGGAAAUAAAGGAACAGUUCAACUACGCAGCGAGUUGUGGUGAAGAGGUCUCGAGAAUUCUCGAGGUUGGGAGGCUGCGCUAUAGAUCGAGGAAUAAGAUUUUAAGAUGUGGGUAUUUCACUUCUUCGACUUUAUAUCUUAAAUAUAUUGCCCACUUUAGUAUGCAUGUAAACUUGCAGAUGUGAUUGAUUGUCCUAAUUUUAGGUUUAAGCCUUUUCAGCUUAAGUUAGAAGCAAGUUCCAUAUUAUUGCAAAACAACAGUUCUAUAGGCGAUAUUCUGAAUUGCGAAUUGAGUACAUUGGCUUUUCUUAUUUAGCACUUGUGCAUCUUUUGCGCAGGAAAUUUUUUUGCCAGUAUUUUUCCUGCGUUUAUUUUAAAGAAAUGCUUCAUUGUCAGAAAAAUAUGCAGAAAAUUGAUUAAAUAUAGUUCAUUGCAGUUAUCUUAUCAAGGAUCUUGUAUUCUAUGUCUCUGCGUUCCGCAACAUCAUCUCGGACAUCGAAGAGCUCUCCACAUUCAACUGGAGAUAUGAAGCAGAAUAUGGCUAUUCAUACAAAUUCCGAGAGGGUGAAUGAUUUUGAGCUUAGCAACCUUACAUCAGUAUUGGACAGGUUGCAUGAAUGGGAGAAAAAACUUUACAAGGAAGUUAAGGUACGUCCUAUAACACAAUUAAGCACUAGUUGUUUGUGUGGUAUGCAGGAUAACCGCUUAAAUGGUUGGAUCAACUGCCAUUUUUGGCCUUUUUCACUCUCUGAGAUUAGUGUUGUGUGCAAAAAGAAGAAUCAUGAAAUUAGUUUCUAAUGACAUUAUCAUGUGACUGUUCUAGGAAGAAGAAAAUCUGAGGGUCAUCUAUGAUAGAGAGUGGAAGCGACUAAAAGCAUUAGAUGAAAAUGGAGCAGAGGCUCAUGAAAUUGAUUCCACUCGGGCUUCAAUAAAGGCGUUGGUGACGAGAAUAAAUAUUGUCAUCAGAUCUGUAAAUGCUAUUUCUAGCAGGAUUCACAAGCUAAGAGAUGAUGAAUUGCAGCCGCAGCUCAUCGAAUUAAUCCAAGGGUAUUGAAAUUUGAAAACCAACCUCUCUUUGUGCAUAUGUUAAAAACAUCAGGUUUCUUCUACAUGUUGAUGUGAAAAUAUAUUAAUAUGAAUCGCAGCUUCUGUUUGGACAGGUUUUAUUUGUUUUCCUUGAACUUCACAAUUUUGUUUUAGCAAAAUAGUAGGGUCCAUUGGGCCGAAGAGUCGUCAUAUAUUUGCUCCUUGUAGUUCCAUGAAAUAACAUAGGGAUAUCUAUGGCUUCAUGGUGACAUUGUGAUUAAGUGCCAUUUUUUCUGCAGACUAAUAAGAAUGUGGAAGUUUGUCCUCGACUGUCAUCGCAAGCAAUUCCAAGCGAUGGUUGAAAGCAAAGCCCAAAACCUAAUACCAAAAUUUGGGGGUCUACGAAGUUCUGCUUCAAAGGCGACGAUAGAGUUAGAGCUAGAGCUCCUGAACUGGGCUUCGUGUUUCAGAGAUUGGAUUCAAACCCAAAAGGCUUACAUCGAAGCCCUUAACGGCUGGUUGCUGAAAUGGCUUCUCCAGGAGAAAGAAGAAACACCUGAUGGAGAAGUACCAUUCUCUCCCAGCCGAAUGGGAGCCCCUCCUGUGUUCAUCACUGCCAAUGAUUGGUGUCAAACCCUGGAAAGGAUAUCCGAAAAUGGUGUAAUAGAUACAAUGCGAGCUUUCGCUAUAAAUGUGCACAGCUUAUGGGAGAAGCAGGACGUGGAGCAGCAUCAGAAGCUGAAAACUGAAUAUCUGUCCAAAGAUUUUGGAAAAAGGCUUAAAUCUGUGCAAAAGGAAUACGGGAUUAAUGGGCCUGUAGAUGUUGAUAAAAUAGCUAUGAUUCUCGCCAGUAACGGGCCGAUCGAUGACCGCAUGGUGGGCUUGGAUGCAUUGAAGAAGAGAUUAGAUGAGGAGAGGGCCAAACAUGAGGAAGCCGUUAAACAAGUCCGAGAGGCGAGCGCGACCAAUUUGAGAGCGGGCCUGAUUCCGAUUUUUGAAGCGUUGGGGAACUUCACUAUCGAGACACUAAAGGGUUAUGAAGGAGUCAGAAUUCCGAAUGUUGGCGGAGUAACUUAAGUAAAAGCUUCAUGUAACCGGCUUUGGCUUUUCUGUCAAGCCGAAAGGUGGAAAAAUCUCUGCUUCUCCAAAUUUUUGCAGCUAAAAGAUCAAAUUUCGCAGUGGAAUUACAUUGAUGAGUUGAACAACUCGUCGGAGGUCACUUUGGUGACGAAAGUUUCAACCUUCUGGUUCAGCAAUAAGCUAUUUCAACGGAUUGAGGAGCUAUUCAGAUAAUAAGUAGAGAAUUACUUGAUUUAUUUUGCGAUUUUCAGGGAGGUGAUUUUCCCCGUGGAACCGGCUUACGCAUAGAAAGAUCGCAUGCUCCAGGAGGCGACAAAUUUAUCGAAACCAGAAGCAGCAGCAGUUGAUUUCUCAGAAGAUAAUGAGCUGUAGAGUGAAGUAGUGAACUAGUUUAGGAAUAACAUUGCUCUGUGCUGUUCUCUAGAUUAUGGCUUUUCAAAUCAAUUUUUUAUCUCUAGCUGUGAGGGGAAUUUUGUCAAAAGGCCCUUGAGGAAGGGGCCAUGAGUUCUUGUCUCUUUUAUUUUUCUUUUCCCCUUGUGAUGUAAAUACAUUUCCAAUCUAUUGCAGCAUCAAUUGUUGUAUGGCUUAUUUGGAGGCAGAUUUUGUGCUUACUGGAUCUGAUUUUUUCUUUCUUUUUUUUUUUCUGUUUUUUGGUAGGGACUAAAUCACCUCAUUUUUUAAACUCGCAUGCGGGGGAUCAAAACCUGAUCUCUUGAUCGAAGAUUCGAGAUACCAACCAACUGUGCUAAACAAUCUGUCUAAAUUGAUCUCGCUGUAGUUUCGGGGGAACAAUCAUGUUACCCACGAAUCCGGAGACUAAAUCACCUCAUUUUCUAAACUCACGUGUGGGGUUCAAAACCCAAUCUCUAGAUCAAAGAUCCGGGAUACCAACCAACUGCGCUAGACAGUGUAUCUGAAUUUGAUUUUGUUGUAGUUUCAAAGAGUUAAAUCACGUUUCCCAAGAAUUCGAGGACUAAAUCACCUCAAAUUUUUUUUUUUUACACUCCCAUGCAUGGAUCAAAACCCGAUCUCUUGAUCGAAGAUCCGGGAUACCAACCAACUUUGCUAGGCAGUGUUUCUGAACUAAUCUUGUGGUAGUUUCUAUUGCAAGUUAUGGCUGUAUCUCCAGAUCUUCUAUGUCAAAUGUGUUGUGAACCUGCUCGACUGAUCGAAUUGAAUGGAAUAAGAUUUUUUUAAAAAAUUACCAAUUAGGGUGAAAUAAUAUAGGGAUGAGAUUUAUAUCAUUCACGCAUAUUUGGUGUAACAUCGGACACAUAAUGGUAUGCUCAAAUUAUUAGUGCAAAAUACUUGAGUUCAAUGGUUGGCAUUGAAAUCAUAGUUGGAUCAUCUAACCCUAGGAGUGUAAAUGAGCCGAACAUGAGCGAGCUGGGUCGGCUUGUGUUCGACUCGCUUAAUAAACGAGCCGAACACGAGCUAGCUCGUUAAAGUAUCGAGCUACAAAAUUCAGCUCGUGUUCGGCUCGUUAAUAAACGAGGCGAACACGAGAUGGCUCGUUAAAGUAUCAAGCUACAAAAUUCAGCUCGUGUUCGGUUCGUUAAUAAACAAGCCGAAUACGAGCUGGCUCACGAGCUGCCCAACGAACAAUAAGUUAAAAGGAUUAGAUUGAAUAUAUAAAAAAAAUAAAUUUAUAAAAUCUUAUCCGUUAGACUUUGAUCUAAUAGUUGAAACUUUAUAUAUAAAUGAGUUUUUUUUUAUAAUUGAGUUCGCCUUUAUAUUUUUAUUUUGCAAAAAAAUAAAUAAUAAAAAUAUAUAUUAUAUAUAUAAUUAUUUAUUUAUAUAUAUAAAUAUAAAUUAAAUAAAUUAUAUAAAUAUAAAAUAUAUAUAUUCGAGCUAUUAUCAAGCCGAACACGAGCGAACUGACCUCAGCUCGUGUUCGGCUCGUUUAUUAAACGAGCCGAAAAAUUCACCUCGUGUUCAGCUCGUUUACUAAACGAGCGAUUCGAUCUCGAGCUCAUUUCGAGCCGAAUACGAGCUGACUCGCGAACAGCGAGCUGGAUUGCCACCCCUAGGUAAGGCUCGGUUGGGUGAAAAGGCGCAAUGGGAAAGUAAAAUUUAAAAUAAAAAAAUAAUUUAUUUUAUAAAGAAAUAUUAUGUUAUGUAGAUUAUUAUAGUUAUUAUAAUAAUUUGGCUCAUUUACAUAAAAAAAAAAAAUUAAUAAAAUUUAUUUUUGAAAUUUUAUAGACUCAUACCAAAUUUUAAAAAUCAAAAUGAUCUUAUUAUUUUUCCUCAUUCCUUUUCCUUAAUUUCCUCCUCCCUCUUAUGUCCUUUGACACCACCGUCGUCUCAUUCCUUUUCCUUUUUUUCCACUGCCUUCCUCUCCCUUCUCCUCCUCCACCGUCACUGUCGCAUAUCAGGAACGCAAACACGAGAGCGAUGAUCUUAGAGGGGUUCCCCCUGAUAAUAGCGGGGCGACGGUCGAGAAAGUCUAGGUUGCGCUGACAAUAACAUGCAGAUGAUGGAGGAGAAGGGAGACAAAGGGGGCAUCUAUGUCGUUCUUUUUCUUAUUUCAUUAUAUAUUAUGUCCUCAUUUUUUUUAUUCAUUAUGUAUUGUACUAUUUGAUAAGUGCAAAAAAAUUAUAAAAUAGUGCAGCAUUCUAUCAUAUAGUGUAACAUUAAAAAUUUAACUUUAUGUUGCACUAUUUUUAUGGUCUAUAGCACUAGUCAACGAGUAUAACAUAUAGUCAAAUAGUACAAUAUUUUUCUUAAUAAAAAAAUAAAGAAAAUAAAAGAAGCAGAAGAAGGAGGAGGACAUUGAUGUCUCCUUUCUCUUCCUUCUCCUACUUCCUCUCCUCCUCCUCCUCCUACUCCUCCUUUUCCACCAGCUCUAACACCCCGUCACGCCCUGUCGCCUCGAAUUGCAUCACUACCCACACUCUCACCUCAGUGUUCCAUGUCACAUUCUAGCCUGUGUUGCUGCCGUCACCGUCACCAGCAGCGGAGAUGUAGGCCAUGUCCAGACGAUGGCAAUGUGUGGACAGUGGAGGAAGAGGAGGGAGAAGAAUUGAGUGGAGAAACAAAGAAAAGAAAGAGAACAUAGGUUUUUUGGUCUGUUUCUCAAAAAUUGAUUCGAAACUGCAAAAUUAAAGCAGACGGUCGAAUUUUGCAAAAAUGCAAAACUAAUAAAUUUUUUUAUGCGAAAAGGUCAAAUUUUUUUAAGAUAAUGAAUUUUGCAAUUCUACUAAAAUAUGGAGAAGCAUAAUUUUAUUUUUUUUAUAUCUUAGGCUAUUUUAGCCUAGUAAUAACGACAAUCACAUCUCAUGUACUAUAUUUCUUCUACCUAUGAUAAAAGCUUAAAAACCAGAGUCAAACUUUUUAAGUAUACAUCGCAAUUUAAAACCUCUCUAUUUAUGUUGUGGUAGCUACACCUUAAUAAGAUUUAAAUCUAAAUUUAAAUUUGAAUCCUAGGAAAUGCAAGACUUACAAAAGUACAAAAAACAUGCUAUUACCUAAGGGGUACUACAGAAUGGUGUAGCGAAAAUAUCCAAGAAUGCAUAUAUAUAAAAAUAAAUUAAAUAAUGGUGCAAUAUAAAUCACUAUUACUGAUGCAUACUAUUUGGAGUUGUGUCAUCUCGAAGCGUAGUCUAUUCUUGGUUUACUAUCCCAUCCUAUUUGUAAAAUAAAUUAGGCAUACAUCCUAGAUAAUUAGAAUACCAUCUUAGAGAGCUAACAAUUAAUUAAUUGAUUUAAAUAUUCAGUAGUGAUAUAUAUUGUACACUUUUCAAAUAUGGUAAUGAAUAUGUAUUGAAUGUGUCUAUGCAAUAAUAUAAAUGAAAUCAGUCCCAACAAAUAUGAUUAGUACUAAAACAUCUACAUAUACCUCUGAUAUCGACAAUAAUCGUGAGCAUAAUAUCUGAAUAGCUCUAAUACCUCAACCUAGACCAACUAUUAAAUGCAUUUCUCAUCCAUGCUUCUGACCUCCAACAUCGAGUGUUACUCUAAAUUAAAUAACUUAUUAUAAGUACCUAAUCAAACUAGGAGUAUGUUAUUCAUUCUUGCUGAUACUAUCUGAGAAGUACUUCUCUGGUCUAUAUGUACCCAGCUAUCCUGAUAUGCACCGAUUAUAAAAAUUGAUAUGUUAUAGAGUGUUGCUUAGCAUAGCCCCUCAAGAUCUUACUCGUACCCAGCUAUACUAUAAUACGGAUGUUAAGAUAAGAUUUAACCCUAUCACUCAUGGUAGAGUUAGGUCACGUCCUAGCCUACUAAAUUCGGCGUACAUCAACUCACUGUAUCUUACGCUAAAUCUCCACUCCACGGCUCUUGACGAUGGCACUGUCACCAAUAAAAUGUUGGUUUGAUUGUCCCUGGCUCACCCGAUAACCAUAUACACCGCUAUCUCGAGUCUUCAACUUGCCAUAAAUUCUUGAACCUCUAUUCGACAUUCAUCACACACGCAUGCGCGCGCGCACACACAAAGAACUAGGCCAGAAUACUUCUAAUAGCACCAAAUCAUUGGUGCAUACGAGUUUUUGGCCCUUGGAUCAAAGGGUUGUGGGAUUAGGAUGAUAGUAGUCUACUUGGGUUCAGUAAUAAUUGGUGAAAUAACGUGACUUAAUGGAUAGAAAUAGUCAAAGGAGUAGAUUUAAUAGUGACAAAGUUAAUAGCACUGAGUACUUGUGCUAUUAAAAACACCUCACCGCGGCUACCACACACUAUUCCUUUACAAAUAGUUAAAGAAGUUGCUUGGUUUUUUGAAAAAGAGAAAUGCUAAGUCUACACUUUGGGGGUUGUAAUUUUUACAACCCUCAUCCAAAGGACCAAAAAGAUUCACCCCAACACUUCUCGGUUUUAGUUUAACAAAAAAAAUGAUGAGACUUGUUCUUACAUACUUACAUUACAACCCUAAAAUGCUUGUUAGGGGUUGCAGCGCUUUCUGAAAAUUAUGAGGUAAAAUUGCAUAAAACCACCCUCAAUUAUAUGUCAGUUUGAAAUUGCCUCAAGAAUUAUGUUUUCUUUUUGAAUUGAUACAUCCUAUAAAUUUUUUUAAACCAAAAAAUUUGGGAUUAUAUCAAAAUAUCUUUGAUAAUUUCUUCAUAUUUGACAGUUUUGAUCACUUUUUAUAUUUCAAAAUAAAGUAGAAGAUGUGCUAAAGUGAAGGAUGUUAGCAAAAAUUAACGACAGUGAUAAAGAUAGAGGUGUAAUUCCGUGUCGAGCCGUCACAGUCCACAUUGACCAGCCAGGCAUAACCCGGUUUCUGAUCUGCACGGUCUUUUUUUACAUUCUUGGCCCAGCACGGCCCUCCAGCCCAGAUAGCACGAGCAACGCCGGGCCAGGCCGGACUCCGGGCCGGCCCUUUAUUUUCCUUAAGUUUUCUAAAAAUAGAUAAAAUUUUAAAACAUAAAAAUUAAUAUUUUGAUAAAAACAUAAAAUUUAGAAGAAUAUUUAGAAAAACAAUAAAAAAUUAAAUAUUUAUUAAAACUAAAAUAUUAAAAAAAAUUAACAAAUUUUGGGCCAAAAUAUUCUCCCAACACUCAACAAUGAGGCCGGGUUGGACCAAAACUCCGAAGGUCAACUAGGAGAAGCCCCGUAUGGAUCGUUAAAGAAGUUGCUUGGUAACUGAAAAAUUAUGAGGUAAAAUUGCAUGGGACCCCCUCAACUAUAUGCCAUUCUGAAAUAGCCACUAGAAUUUUGUUUUCUUGAAUUAACACCUCCUAAUUUUAUUUUACAUUUUUUGGUAAUUUGAUGUUAACCAAAAAAACUAGGGAUUAUAUCAAUAUAUUUUUGCUAAUUUCAUCAUAGUUUUGACCACUUUUCAGCUAAUAAACUGAAUUUGUUAACUGAUUCUAGCUAAUUGAGCCAUUAAUUUUUAUUAAUUUUUUAUUAAAUGAUUAAAAUAAUUAAAAAAAAAUAGAACUUAUAUAAAUGUAAAUUAGAAAAAUGGGAAAACUUCAAAAACCACCCCUGUGGUUUCGCACUUCUUCACUUUACUACCCUGUGGUUUGAAGUGUAUCAAUUUAGCACCAUGUGGUUUCGCACUUUCUCACUUUACUACCAUGUGGUUUAAAGUACAUCAAUUUAGUAUCCUGUGGUUUCUUUUUUCUUUUUUCGUCGGCUCCUCUGUUAAUAUUUUAUUAAAUUAUAUAUAAAAACUUCAGAUACCCUAUCUAGGUUUAUCGAAUAUUUACUUUAGUACCCUUUUGUUUUAACUUUGUCAAUGACUUUUUUUUCCUCCGUUAAUAUUUCGUUAAAUUAUAUACAAAAAAUCUCAGAUACCCUACCUAGGUUUAUCGAAUAUUCACUUUAGUACCCUUUAAUUUUAAUUUUGUCACUAAUUUAACAAACAAAAUUAGUGAAAUGGAUAAUAAAAGAAGAAAAAUAAAACUGCAGGAUACUAACUUGAUACACUUUAAACCACAUGGUACGAACGUGAGAAAUUAAGUAUGAAAUCACAGGGGCUAACUUGAUACACUUUAAAUCACAGGGUACUGAAGUGAGAAAGUGUGAAACCACAAGGGGAUAUUUGAAGUUUACCCUAGAAAAAUUAAAGUUGGGGGGUCUAUUUUAUGCUCCUAUUGAAAUUGCGGAAAGAUUACAUUAUAUGUGGCAUGAAAGUGUGAUAAAAAUAUAUUCUAUUUAUCUUCGUACGUAAUAUUGCAGUUCGUACACUGCACGGUUCAACCGAAAAAUGCAAAAUCAUAUCUGUAAAAACUUUCGCUCUAAUUCCAUUUUACCUACUAAUAUUAGAUAGACCUCAAUGCCGAACGGGCCCUUAGAAUGGCCUGAAGUUGAGUAAAUACACAAAGCUAUAGAAUUUUUUGGGAGUUCCACUCCUCUUCUUUUUUUUCUUUUUUUUUUUUUGAGAGAUAGGUAGCACGCUACACGCUUCGUUUAUUUUAUUUAGAAAUAAACUUAACUAGAAAUGCGAAUCAACUAGGAUUUGAACUUGGGUCUCGGAUAUCAACCACCAAGCCUUUUGCCACUUGCUUUAGGGACGGUCGGUUGAAAAGAGGAAUGAUUUAAGCCCGAUUUUUUAGAAAAUAAAAUAUGUGACUAGUUUAAGAGUUUUUCAAAAAAGAACUAAAGACCCAAUAUAUAUACGUUAAUACUUUUAAAAUAUCUAAUAUACUGCUAAAUUGACCAAAAUACUUUUGUUGAUUUUUCAAAAAAAAAUUUCAAAUAUAUUUCUAACUCCAGGAUUUAUUAACAGGUUUAAAAGAUAUAAGAUUCACAUCCUAGCUUCUCAAAAAUUAGAAUUUACCUAUUUAUCUUAUCAAUUUUUUAAUACUAAAAAUUUUUUUAAAAAAAUAAAUUCUUUAUUCAUGAGAUGUAUGAUUUACAUGCACAAUAUUAUGUUUUUUUUUUAAAAAAAAUGGUCAUAGUUAUGUGUCGGAUUUUAAUUGGCCUAAUCCUUAAACUCCUGUGAGAUAGGAAGAUUAUGGGAACAGAAAAGUACAAUAUGCUUUCGAACGCGAUUCAGAAAAUAGUGUUUUUUUUUUUUUUUUUUUUUGGAGAGAUAGGUAGCAGUGUAGCACGCUAUGCGCUUCGUUUAUUUCAUUUAAAAAUAAAUUUAGCUAGAAAUGUAAAUUAACUAGAAUUCGAACUUGAGUCUCGGGUACCAAUCACCAAGUCCUUUAUCACUUACUCUAGGGACUGUCGGUCGAUUCAGAAAAUAGUUAGUAUCUAAUAGUGAGUACUAUUAUGGGACUGAAUACGUACGGUUGCGUAAUUGAAGCGUGUCAUUUGUUGUUUGACCACUACUUUGUGCGGUAGAUGAUUUGGCCAUUUCUGAGAUUAAUUUAAAGUGGUCUAAACUAAACACCCCAGUGGUCCUGCACCCAGUAAUUAUAUAUAAAAUAAAAUAUAGAGUUUUGACUGGUGUGCUUUUAGUACCACCAAGCACCUAGUGCUAUUAAUUUUUUCAUUAUUAGAUUUACCACUUUGACCAUUUCUCUCUGCUAAUCAUAUUAUUUAAUCAACCACCUACCCUACCCUAGGGGACCACUAUCAUUAUAAUCGCAUAUCUCUUCGUCCAAAGGCCGAAAAUCUAAUAACACCAAUGACUUUGUGCUAUAUAUUAAAAGCAUUCCAGCUUAACUCUAUAAAUAUAUAUAUAAUAAUUAUUAUUUACAGAGUCCGGCUACUAUACUCUUAUGAGUACGAUAGCCCUCGUACUCAUAAGUCGUUUUCGAUGAUAGAGUUUCCAAAUCGAUGAUCCAUACCGUUAAACAUUAUCUAGAGUAUUUAAAACUUUCAGAAAUCAAAUUUCAUAGUUUUUCUACAUCAUUUACCUUACGAUCAAAAGCUCAUAAAAUUGACAAUUUUAACGGCCGGUAUGGGAUAUUUGCUAGUUUAACUAUGUAAAAGAAUUGGAAUAGAUUGACUUUUUGAUAGAAAAUUUUAUUCACUACCUAGAUAAAGAUCAAUAACUUCGAUCUUAAAUUGAAGGAUCCGAUCAUCCAUUUUUAGGAUGUCGUUCAAUUUUGACCAUUCAUUUUAUACCCGUUUGAUGGACUUUAUUAUGAUUUCGAAAAAUUACAAAAUUUAUUUUUUAGAAGUUUCAAAUACUCUAGAUCAUAUUUAACGAAAUGGAUCGUCGAUUAAUUCGAAAGCCUCAUCAACGAAAACAACUUAUGAGUACGAAGGGCUCUAUUCUCAUAAGAGUAUAGUAGAGCACUCUACUCUUAUUUACAUACUAUUAAUAGUCCUUCAGCACAACUAUAUAUAUAGUUUACAUGCUAUACUAUUGAUAUUAUGUGAAUAUACAGUGUUCACUAUAUAUCAAUUUUUUCAUCCUUGUAUUAUUAUUAUUCCAUCAAUCGCCACUAAAAUCUAUGCAUCAAAGGGUCAAAAGGUUGAUAAUAAACAUUAUUACCAUACUAUCAAAAUAUUCCAACCGUACACUCUCUCUCUUCGGAUGUUUCAGUAUUGAAAAUAACUUAUAAACACGGUGAUCUCCGUACCUUCGAAAGUGUCGGAACCUCUCUCUCUCUCUCUCUCUCUCUCUCUCUCUCUAUAUAUAUAUAUAUAUAUAUAUAUAUAUAGUUGAGCUAGAAUACUAUCGAUAGCAAAUGGGCUCCAUUGCCACCUAUUUGUUUUUUAUGAUAGAGUCUCCAAAUCGACGAUCGGCACCGUUGAACAUGAUCUAUACCACUUGAAGUAUUUAGAAAUCAAAUUUCAAAUCUUUUCGAUAUCAUUUGCCUAAUGAUCAAAGGGUUUCAAAAUUUAUAAUUUUAAUGGUCGAUAUGAGGCGUUUUCUCGUUUAACGGCGUAAAGAUAUCCAAAUUAAUUAAAUUUUUAUUAGAAAAUUCUUUAAACUAUUUAAAAUAAGAUCUAUACUCUUGAUCUUGAUUACAAGACUCCUAUCAUCAUUUUUUAAAGAAUAUUCAUUUUCAGCCAUUCAUUUUUAUGUCCACUCGAUGGAUAAGAGAAUAAUAUCGGAAAUGUAUAAAAUUUGAUUUAUAAACACUUCAAGUGAUAUAGAUCAUUUUCAACGGUGUCGAUCGUCGAUUUAGAGACUCCAUCAUCGAAAACAAAUGGGUGGCAACGAAGUCCGUUUGCUAUCGAUAGUAUUCUAGCUCAACUCUCUCUCUCUCUCUCUCUCUCUCUCUCUCUCUCUCUAUAUAUAUAUAUAUAUAUAUAUAAAAUACAAAAUAAAUUCGGGUUCAGGUCGGAUUCGAGUUCGGGUUCGGGUCGGGUACGGUCAAAAUCCAUAUCCGUCGGAUUUCUAUUUUUGAUAUCCAUAUCCGAAUCCAUAUCCAUUUAGUAUCGGAUAUAUCCGUUUCAUUCGGGUUCGGAUUCAGAUAAAAUUUCGGGUAUCCAUACCUAUUGACAUCCCUAACCUCCGCUGAGGGAAAGAAUCUGUUUCAGCGCUAUUGUAGCGCAGAACAUGUUUUCGAGUUCAUCAAGUAAUCAGAAAGAACAAUUCUAGGGCACACUCAUCACUAUACAUUAGAUGGAGAAAUAAGUAAUACAAAGACUAUCUAAACUGUUCCUUUUUCGUCGACACCUGCGUUUAUUGUCAGCUAUUAAUCUCUUCCAUCUUUUCUACAGCUUAAGUGGUUAAAACAAAACACAACAAUAUACAGCGAAAGUUGGUGUUUCCUAUUUACGAAGAGUUGAGCGUCGGAGAAGCAGGUGAGGACGAUGAGGAGUGUGAGUCGGGGGCCGGGUUGGAUGAUAAAGGAGGUUGCCCUUGCGAUCGGCUUCUGAAACUUGGUGCGUCAAUAGAAGGGGCCGGUCGUGGAGGUUGGGGGGGCUGGUAAUACUUGUGCCCCUCGUCGGCUAGUUUCCUUAGUAUGUUCAUUACUGUCGGAAGAAACCUUGCUGACAGAGCUAGAAGUCCAGAGAGCUGCGCAAAAUAGUCGACAACAUAGGAGAUUUAUCAAAACCCAACUAAAAAUAAGACAUAAUUGAUCAUACCCGAGUGGUAUAACACGAAACAAAAUUAGAUGUUUGUUUUUGAUUUGACCAGAUUCAAUAUUCCAAUCCAUCUAGUAAGCAAAGGAAAAAUUGCAGCUCAGGGCUUGAAUUUCGUUUUAGAAACAAAAUAAAACAUAUGUUUUGUGGUUAAAAUUAGCAGCAAAGUCUAUUCAUGCAUACGAUUUUAUGGUACUUUUAAAGUAUGAUUAAUUACUCAUCAUUAUCUUAGUCCUUUAUAACUAUUAUUUAUAAGAGACAUACAAGCUAAGCUAACAAAAAGUUUGUUUCCAAAAGAUGCUGGGUACCUGUGAUGUUUAUGUAGUCGUUUUCUCAUGGAUAGUAGUAUCAUUUAUUAGGAAGUAAUAGAAAAUCCUCAAAGUCAAAAAAAAAAAAAGUGAUUAAGAUAUCAUUAAUCAACAAUAUCAAAUUGUGUACAGCAAAUAUAGAAAUGAAAUUCUGCUUACCAUGCCGCGCCGAAAUUCUUCAAGGAUAUUGAAUUGUAACACCACGGCAUAGGAUACAAUGAAAAGAAGAAAGAGUCCCAAGAUGUACACUGGGUUCCUGUUCAUCAGCAAGAAGAACAGGAUAAAAUUAUCAGGCUUUAUCCCAAGAAGGAAUGUACAAACACACGUGACGAAUAAAUGAAGAUUCACAGUUAUAUCUCUGCAAAAUAAUAUAUUUACAAAUACACCACUGUGGAAACAGAAAAUUCAUUUAUACCUCUUGGAGAUCCAGUUUCUACACAAAAUAACCUUACCUUAGGUAGGGUAGUUAUCUGAUUCAUGGAGAGAAUUUAUUUGGUCUUUUAGAUUAGUUUCUUUGAUGGGCAUUUCUGUUGGUACAAGGGCAUAGUAAUUAAGUUUUUGAACAACAUAUACAGCAAUUCAGAUUUUGCAGAGGUAGUAUAUACACUAAUAGAUAUUUUUGUUAGGGUAUUUACAUGCAAAUAUCUCUAAAUAAUAAUACUAAGCCAAUAAAAAGUGAAAAUGAACUAAACAACAGAAUAGAAAGACUUAUCUCUCGUAGCACAAAAUUACCUUAGAAGCAUCAUAAAUUCGUUAAAACCGAGGAUUGCAAUUGCGACGAUCGCCCAAGGAGGAGGCAACCAAUUACUACUCCGUCUGUGAGCUUCCUGAAUCAGGCCAAAAAAGGGAGAAAAAUAAAAGACAGAGUAGAAGCAGAGUAUAAGCAUCAGAACUGUGCUGCUUCUGUUCUAACAAUGUAUGUGUUGGUAAUAUUCACUCAAAUGAACUUUCAGAGUAUAUUUAACAUUCAACUAUUUAGAUGAACUAACCCUCUGACACACAAAGUAAAAGCCUGUAAAGGAGACAGCUAAAAAAUUCAAGAUGGACCGGCUUUACCUUACUGAGUAAUCCCCAAAAGUUUAUAGAAACAAAACGAGGCAAAAAGAAAGGGAAAAAGCAAACCAUACCUGUGCUGAGAUUGCUUGGGUGAUGGUGUACUCAGUUUCUGAUUUAAAUUGCCUCCAAAUGGACUUGCACUGCACUGGAGUAAUUAAUGUAUUCCUAGGUGGUAUCUGAGAGAAACGAGCAUAAAUUAUGCUUAAAUUUCAUAUAAAUCUUAAUUGUGGAACAAAAAAGUGAAAAACAGGUUGUAAUUAUGCACUACCUCUUCCCAUGUGCUUGAAGCGAGAAGGUCUGUAGAGGCUUCAAUACUCCUACUUUGAGAGACGGGACCUUGUUCUAAUAGACUCGAGCUGAGAGCAUUCUCUAUCUUGUCUGGUUUAUCAUCUAAGCGUAUGGCCGCAAAUACAGCUAAGAGUUUUAGGGCCUGCACAGGAUUGCCAUGCUCUACAAUCAUUUCCAUGGACGCAAGCAGGCGAAUAUAAAAACACCACCCAAAUUGUAUGUAUUAACAAAUAUGUUCCUGAACUUCCUUUUUUCUUCCUGUGAUAUUUGAUGCAAAUCGUUAAGAAUAGCCUAAUUCUCUGUACAUCAAGUUUGUCAGGGGAAUUCAUAUCCUAAAAUCUAAAGUUAGGGGAUCUGUAUUCAAAUGACACGUAGCGUGCAAACGACUGCAUAUUUUACGUAACAAAAGAUACACUAUCCUAGAAAAUAUCCAUAUAUCAGUAAUUGAGGUAUGUAGUAUUCUUAAUACCGCUGAACGUGCUUCCUUUGUUAUCGCCCUAAUAUCUUCCUUCCCAGUCCAAACCCUUGGUAUUGAGUCCUUAUCAUGGUUAAAUACAGUAGAAAACCUGCAAAAGAUCCAAUAACAAGUGUCAAAUUAUGAGAAACAACCGUAUUUCUCUAAAAGCAUAAACUAUGAGAGAAUGAUAUUUUUAAUAUUUGUAUUCUACACUUUCCCUCACGUCUGGUUUCGAGGCUUUUUGAUAGGCCCAAGACGUUGACUUGGAAUAAAUGGGAGGAAAUUAAAUGAAACUAGGAGCCUAGCAAGAUUUGCACUCAAGACCUUCUACUCUAGUACAAUGUCAAAUUACUUUUAGAGAAAUAUGGUUGUUUCACAUUCUUUAACAACAACAAUAAGAAAAUAAAUUGUGGAAAAAGUGAUAAGAAGUAAAAUCUAAGUAAUAAUUACUACCUAUCCUUCAUAUGUAUCAGAACCUUCCCUGCUUCAUCUCUAGCUUUCUUUUCUAUCACACCUCUAGCGAAUUCCUCUAAGUUUUGGAUCAUCGUGUCGUGAGUAGCCUGAUCAAGUUCAAACCCAGAAAGGGAACUCGUAAAAUCAGAAACGGCUUUUUCUGUCUCGCGCCUGUAAAGGUUCCUAAUUGAAGCCCAAGUAUCAUCUCCAGCUGCUUCUAGAAGUGACUCAACAGGUCCUGCCAGUGCUUCUGUUAAUUUGCUCUGCAAAAAUAAAGGGUGUAUAACACAUGUAUCCCUCUGGAAAACGAGAGUUUUCAUAGAUGCCCUUUGAGAAGAAAACUUAGGAAAAGAUAUGAAGGGCACUGCUAAUAUUAAGCCCAAGAAGGGCAAGCUGAAUUGUCCUAAAGGGAUUUCGACAUGUUAAAAAGGCAUUUAUGAAACUGUAAUUGGUUAGGAAGAAAAAGUGAAGAACCUCAGAAGAAGCUUUUAAUUUAGCUAGUUUUGCGGUUCGAACAGAUGCAGCAUGGGAGUCGAUAUCACGCCUGAGUUUGUCCCUAACUUUGGAAGCAUCCCAAUCUGCUUGCUCAACAGUCACAUCUAGACACAGCAAAUAUAUAUAUAUAUAUAUAUAUAUAUAUAUAUAUAUAUAUAUAUAUAUAUAUAUAACAGGUUGUUAAUUUACUUGCCUAGAAUAAAAUGCAUAAAAGUUUCUUUAAUGAAUUUAAUCUUCAAUAGGAACAAAUACCUUCUAAUCCUCUAUCAAACUCAAGCAAAGAAGCCCGAGUACAAUCACGAACUGCUGCUGCAAACGCCUUCCCACUUUUCAAUGACUGUUCUAAAUCAUUUUUGAAUUUCUCCAAAGCUUUGGAACGGAGGUGUCCCAACAUUGCCGUGAAAGUGGAAUGCACAUACUGCAAAAAGAGGGCAAAAUGGAGAAGUUUAGAUGAAAAUUAAUAGCUUCCAACAGAAAGACAAGCAAAAAGGAAAAAAAAAAAAAAAAAAAAAAAGGUAAAACUGUGUUGGCAUAAAUUUACUAAGAAAUUCAAAAUCACUCUCACACCGUGUCAUUCAUCAAAGUCAAUCCCAGUAAAUUACCUAUUAUACGGUCAAAAAAAGGUAAAAUAGCUGUAAGUUUUACUUAUUCAAGUAGAAUCCUACUUGUAUGAAAUCAUUUAAGCCAGAAAAACCAAAAAGCUUAAAUGAAAACUUCCUCCAACUAUAUUGCCUUAUCCUGCAAAUUCACAAAAUUUCCAUGGUUCAACAACUGAUGUUCGAUAAACAGAAUAUCACCAAUCCUAACAUGUUUCACUAAUUUUCUUUUCAGUUAGAAAUACAAACUCACUUUUAAAAAAUAAAUAUUUAAAAUAUUAAUACUUUUUAAAUACUAAUAAUUUAUCAAGUAAGAAAGUGUAUUGCCCUCACAUUCAAGGCUCCAGAUUCCAACUGCUCUCUUUUUGCGGUCCUAACGCCUUCAUCAAAGUAGGCAGCUUCCAUGUCAUACCUACAAGAAAAUAUACAUAAAAAUCAUACCAAAUAAAGAAAGGAAAUUAGCCGUAUGGAAAAGAAGCAAUUUACGAAAAAAUAGAACCAACUAUAAUUUGAAGGUCUGAAGAGCUCAUUAUGCUUUAGUUGACUUUGUCACCAUGAAAAAAUGAUUAACAAGAGAGUUUUACUUCCAACAUGAUCUCUUGAUGCAUAGAAUUUCAAUAUUUAAAUGAGAAUCGCAUGCAGAAAUUUGAGACCCACUCUGAUAGGUAAAAAUCGAGGAUGGAGCUAAGUUUUCUCCCAAAGCCUGCUACUCGACCAGAUUGAACAGCUGUUUUCAACUCCAACCAAUUCUACAUAUUCCAAAGAUUACAUUAGCAAAAUGCAGAUCCAAAAAAAAAAAAAGAAAAAAAAGGUAGAGAACCAGAUUACAAAUGCGUAAUGUAAACCUCAUCAGAUGCCAAACGACCAAGCUUUUCAUUUGCAAUCUCUUCACACCGAACAGUAGCAACCAUAACCUACAGAGACAGAAAAGAAAAAGGCAAAGAGGGAGAGAAGAGUAAAUAAGAAGGCUAACAUGAAUAUUCCCACCCUGGAAAUACCGUGAUUUGCACUUUACUCCCCUUAAUAAUCAAAACCUACACUUAAUAAUCAAAACCUACAAUUAACCACUAGUUUGCAAACUUUGGUGUUUUAGCCCAUUCUAUGGAGAGAGGGCGCAGGAUUUUCUAAUACACUAACAGAUCAUCAGUAGAUCCUCGAGAUGCGUACAGUGCAAAUCGUGAUAUGUCCAGAUGGAUUUUCAGUAUUUCAUACUACUCAAAAUUUAAGAAUAACCUUGUGAGCAGGAAGGUCAAGGUCCUUAUUUUCUCUUAUGACGGCCCAAAUCUGCUGUGCACUAAAAGAAAAUGCUGAGCCUGGUAUAACACCUCGCCUGUCACCUGCAAGGCCUCUUGGAGCAAUUGAAUUGAAAAAGCGCUGCCUUAGCUGCGCAACCUGUAGAAAAUAGAUUAUAAAAGAAAAGAAAUUCAUAAGAUCUUCCACCAAAUGAAAUAUUAAUGACACAUUUAGUUGAUUUCCAAAGGAUGAUUGUACUCCAAUUGACAUUUUACUCCCUAUUUAUUGCGUGCGGUGAACAAAAUAAGAUGUUAAGGGUAUCACAUUUAAUUCUCAACUAUUUGCAAGUGGUCGAUAUUAUGAUUGCCGCCUUAAGAUAGAACAUGAUAUGUCAAUUACAAUACUUGCUAUAUACCUGCUCUUUGAAUUGCUCUUCCUUCUCUUCAUAACUGGGCAAAGCAGUAACCUCCACCUUUUACAUUAGAAAAGUAAGUACUCAGAAUUCAUAAAGAAUAUUACAACUGCUUGAUUACCAAACCAAAUUACUCACGUUGAAAAAUUCACUCAGUGCAGUUUCCUUGUGAGCUUCUGGCUUAGAAAUAGAACUCCAGAUCUGGAAAAAGAAAUAAGACACCAAUGUCACUGCAAGCAAAAAAAUGAGGAUUCUUAAUUUAACCAAAAAAAAAAAAGCAUAUGAAUUGCACCUUUUGAAUGUCUUCCCUUAGCACUGGCUCUAGAUAUUUCAUGGGAGUCUACAGAAAAGACCAGAUAUAAAAAUUUGAAGCAGAUAUUUGGUUGGGAGACAAAGUGAAGAUAUAAUUCUAAGAAUUAAUCAACUACCAAAAGUUAUAAAACCUUAGUUUUGUCACGAAUGACAAAAAGCAGCGUAGUCUUGCGAGGACUAAACAAACGCAUCAUAACCUACAAAAAUAAAAUACAGUAAUAAUUCAACAAAAUGUCGCCAACGACAAUAGAAUUGUGAGCCUUCUGGGUACCAAAAAGAAAAAAAGGGGAAAGAAAACCUGAAAAACCGUCUUCAAGAGAGGUCUAUUAGCAGCCUGCUCUCGGCCUAUGUCAUGACACCACCUGCACAAAUUCGAACAACGAUAAGAAGAGCAAGGCCAUCUGAAAAACCAGCAGUUCUACAGUGAAAAUAGCACUGAAGAAUGGAGAGAGGUUAGCUACAAAACAGUAAUCAACUCACAUAUUAAUCAUAACAAUGUCUGAAAUUGCUAGAGCAAAGAGCGAGAUUUGCUUUUCAAAUGUAGUAUCAUCCUGAAAAUGAAAUAUAAUGCAGCCAUCAAAUAUUACUCAAAAUUAUGUCACACAAAGGAAAAGAAAUAACGCAGCCCUGUGUUAAAUAAUAGUGAAUGCCAAAAUCAUUAGAAAAGGAAAGAGAAAAACUGCAAAUGAGGAUUAAACCUCUCCUCUUUCUCUACUAUCUGUACCCUCUAAAUCCAUGACGAUUGUACAAGGCUCGAUACCAAUACCCUUUGCUAUCCAAAUGCCUUUAGUUGUUUGGCUCCUGCAUGGCAAGAAAUGCAACAUGCCUCAAAAUGUAAUGAAUGUCAUCAAAAUGUAAUAAGGGGAAGGGGAAAAAAAACAGACGACCGUCCCCUCCAUGGUAUAGCAUGAUUCCACUUUACUACUCAGUGGUUGAAAGUUAGUAAUUUGCCACCCUGGGGUUGCUGUUCUGUUUUCCCAUAUGGACCGACCAUCGAAGUGCCGUAAAAACUAGGCACGUGACAGUCAAAUAAUUUAUUAAACACUAUAACUUGAAAGAUUCAAUAUGAUUAAGAAACUGAAUGAUUAUUAAUAGCAUUUUAAUGAGUCAUGUGAUCGUCACAUGCCCAAUUUUUAACAGCAUUUUAAUGGCGGUCCUUACAAAAACCCAACAACAACUACACUAGCAGUAAAUUGCUAAAUUUUGAACCAUAUGUUGCUGUGUUCUGUAGCUUACCAUUAUAUUUUUAACCACAAAAGAAAAUAAAGGAUUAGCUCAUGGAUCGAUGCUCACCUCCCUUUAAAGGCAUCCAGCUCCCUGAAGUUGGUUUUGAAAAGAUGAUUUAAUAGAGUGCUUUUCCCUGCCCAAAACAAAGAAGACCACUUUUUCUUUAUUUAAAUACGUGAGUCAAUAAGUUAACAAGAAGUGUAAAGAUUGAAGGACACAAAAGAAGCAUCCUAUCUGCCUAAAGUAGUAGUCAAAGUAAUACAAAAUUUGGUUUAUUUUUCUUUUUUUUAACAAAAAGAGCUCAUGGUCAUGAAAAGCUAUCAUGUGAUAGCAUCUUUGAUCAUCUCUUUUGCACUUCCCUUUACCACUCCAUCAAGAAUACAUGUUAUUCUUUUCCUCCAUUGCCCCCAACAUCAGAGCUUUCACAGCAUAUCAACAAUUCGAAGCAAAAAGGUUAAUCAACGCUAAACCAUACGAUUCCCCACAUGAACAAAUCUUCAUGUUCGAAAAUAACAGGACAACAUUAAAAAAAUAAAAGGAAUAAAAAGCGCAAACUCCAUAUCUAAGAGGACACUCCUUUCCCACAAUUAGCGCAUUAUUCAAAUUUAAAAUUCAGCAGCACACCCCCAUGCUACCAAAAAUAGCAAAAAAAAAAGAUUUUUUUACAUGGAAAAAGAUAGAAAAGAACAAAUUUAAUACCAAAAAACAAAUUUUCCACACAACCAACUCAUUACUCGAAAUCGCAUAUACGCACUACAAGAAAAAAAUGAGUGAUUUUACAUGGGAAAAAGGAGUGAUUUUACAUGGGAAAAUAAGAGAGGAUCAUAUUUAACACCAAAAAAACACUCUUUCUCUCUCAAUGAACGCAUCAGUCGCUAUCAUAAAUCCGUAACACACCUCAUGCUACUCCAAUUAUAGCUAAAAAAAAAAAAGUGCAAAAAUGGAAAAAUUGAAGAGGAGAGGGGAGAGGGGUUAGUAAAACAGGGAGGAGGGAGCUCACCGCUACUCUGAGGGCCCAUAAUGGAGACGACGGCGUAGGAGAGGCCACAAUCGGCGAGAUGGACGGCCCUGAUGAAGCGCUCGAGGCCCUCCACGUUGAACGCCCCGUCGCCGUCGAUGAGCUGCGUCGCAAAGCACUCCUCGCCCAUCUCCUCCGACUCCACCCCAAGCUCCGAUCGAUUGGGCUCCUCCUCCUAGGGUUUUGGACACACACACACACACACACACAUACACACACACACACACACAGGUUCUCCUCUUGUGCUUGGUCGCUUACACGUAAUAUAUAGUACGAGGUCGCCGUGGAAGCAUUUGGGAGAAGCACUUCUUCUUACGCAUUCGAAAGAUAAAAAACAAAGAGGAGGGGAAUUCGGGUUAUGUGGGUAAAUUUGUACAUUUGUCCCUCAACGUUUACAAAGUUUCACUUUUCGCCUAAAACUUCUAAAUUUUAAAAAAACACUUUCUAUUUAUUACUGCACAUCAUUUUUAUACUUAUCCCACCUUCCAAAUAAGGGCUUUUUUUUUUAAUUAGCCUCCUGACAAAAUUUAUUUGAAAAAUAGCCCCAACAAAUUUAAAUUUACAAAAAUAACGUAGGCGCCACGUCAGCACCAUGCAGGCCAAGUUAGGCCAGUUAGUUAAUUUAAAUACGGUGAACCAUUCACUGUGUCUAAAUACGAUAAAUGAUUCAUAGUGUCUGGGGAAAGGAAAGGAAAAUAAAAAAUAUACGUAUUAUGAAAAAGAUAAGUAUGGAACACGGUGAACCAUUCACCGUGUUCGGUGAACCAUUCACCGUGUUUGAAUACGGUGAAUGGUUCACCGUGUUUGACUUAACACCCCAACCCAUCCACGUGGCGCUGAUGUGGCGCCUACGUGGCAAGGUCAUAAUCAUUUUUACAAAUUUAAAUUUACUUUGGGCUAUUUUAAAAAUAAAUUUUUUUCAGGGAGCUAGUUGCAAAAAAAGCCCCCCAAAUAAAGGUAAAGUACAAUGGUCAAGAUUUUUCUUUUUAAAAUUAAUCUAUAAAAAUUUUAGAAAUAUUACUAAAAAUUUUAUAAAUUUUUGGAUCUAAGAGUGUAAGAUUUAUAUCUUUAUAAGGGGUGUUUACAUAGCUAUUUUUCUAAAAAUUUAUGUAGCAUACAUCCUUAGUUCCCUCUUGCAUUUCCAACGUUACCCGUCAUUGAGUUAAAAUAAUUUUGCUACAUAAGAAUUAUAUAUAUACUAUUAUAUAUAAAAAUAUUGAAUUUAUGGUUUAAAGCUAUAGUGUUAGUACGAAAAGCAGGACUAAUCAUCCCUAACGUAAAUAGUAAAAAAUUGUAAGUUCCAAAGUUAGUUACUUCAUAUUUUUAGCUAAAUUUUUUAUCCCAAACAAUUUUCUCCUCUCUCGGGUUUGAGGAUUCAAAUCUUCUAUAUAUUUCUUAAAUUUAGAGCUCACGCUAUAAAAAUUAUUCUUAAGAUAUGCAAGAGGUUCUUAUUUUUUGAGAAUAAUAAAUAAAGACAACAUCAAAAAAAAUGUGCAAAAGUGAAAAAGAUGGUAUUUUUUUUCUUUCGAGCCAAGUUGCUUACCAAAUAGCCACCUAAGUGCUAAUCCACUUUCUUCUUAUACUUUGUUUCUCUGCUCACAUAUUCUAAGUCCAUAUUUGUUGGGAUCCUUCAUUCAGUUUCACUAAUGGUGGCAUACAAUAAGUUUUUCAAAAAAAAAAAAAAAAAACCAUCUUUUUCUAAGAUACCGACCUCACAAUAUUCCUACAGGCGUGAGAAAUUGUAACUCGUACUCAGUCCUUGCUUUACAUGGCCGGCAUCCUAUCUUGUAGCGUAAAGCUGGGUUGAGUAGAAUCACACUUAAAAUGUGCAAGAAUCGUAUAUAUGUUCAAGUUAAGUAAAAUAGCUAUCCCUUCUAACAUUUCAAUCUUUUUGGAAUUGUGAUUAGCAUUUACAAUAUAACAAAUGAUAUCAGAGUCAGGACACGCUUUUGAUUCUCGCGUGCUACCUAAUGGCAAAGAACAAGUUAGACAAGUCAGAGUCAAAGCAUUUUAAGUGAAUUGAUUAUUCUUUUUCUAACAUCUCGUGUUUAAGAAAUUAUGAUUAGCACCACGAUCCAACACUGAGUACACAAACUGAGGGAUGCUUCUGGUACAGGUAGUAAUUUCUUUUCUAACAUUCAGACAUUGAAACUAAAGUUUUAAAAAUUAUGUAUCAUUCUAGAACUUCUAAAAGAAAAUUAUUUUGCCCAUUUAAAAUGACAAAUCGCUCACAAUUUAUAUAAAUAAACUACACACAUAUUUAUUCAAUUAUAAUUUAUUUAUUUAUAUAUCUGUUUAUAUAUAUAUAUAUAUAUAUAGUAGGGCUAGAAUACUUGUAAAAGUAUCAUGGGGGUGAUACUUGUGUGUUUUUAACCCUUGGAUGGAGAGAUGUGAGGUUGAGAUGAUGGUGGUAGGUGGAAUAGUGUUUAAUCCCAGGGCUAUUAAUAAUCAAAAAGUAGAUCCAAUGGCUUAAAACCUAAUAGCACCAUGAUGGUAAUACUUGUAAAAGUAUCAUAGCUCAACUCUAUAUAUAUAUAUAUAUAUAUUGAAAAUACAUAAAAAUACUGCUGCAUUCAACAUAGAAUCCGGUGGAAGAUUCUACUGGGCAAGGAAAUCUGAAGGAAACUUCCAUUCACCACUAACAAUUCACGAAAAAUAAAAAAAAUAAUAAAAAAAGAAAUUCGGGGUGAGCGUUAUAUAUCACGGUUUUGAAAAUUCGUGUGGGCCCCACAUGUCAGUGACACAGAAGAGCUAUAGCACCGCUACACUGAAGACUCUCCUAGUCUCCUCCACGCUGCGUCAAAAGUCUUCGUAACUUGCGUGCGAAAUUUCGCCCAAGGCAGAGCUAUUUCGCCGACCCUCCAUCCUUUUAAAAAGCCCCCCACGAACCUUAAAGCGAGCGAAGCAACGGGGGAGGGGAGAUCAAAAAAUAAAUAAAUUUGAAAAAAAAAAAAGAAAAGAAAAAAGGAAAAGGAGGAGGAGCCCUAAUUCGACCGGCGCACGUUAGCAUCAAUCGCAGAGGGGGGGGGGUGUGGGGGCUCGGCGCAGGAUAAGAGGAGGCGAAGAAGAUGAUGCUCCCCGGCGUAGAGCUCGCGAGGAGGCGCCGCCUCCACCACCACCACAGCGCCGAUCCGCUCCCGGCGGCGGCUUCGGCCCCCGGCGGCGGCGGCGCCGCCGCCGCGUCGUCCAUGGCGGAGCCCGCGCUCGCCGCGCGCAUCCGCCUCGAGGAGAAGCUCCACGGCCUCUCCAGGUAACUAUUUUAUAUAUUUAAUUAGUAUAUAUAUAUAUAUAUAUUAUAUAUAAUUUUUAUAAUAAUUAUAAAAUAAGUAAAGUAAAUUAUUAAUUUUAAUCAGUUAAGUUUCUGUAUAUUGUCCUGCAGGUGGAGCAGACUUCCAUGUAACAACCGCGGGGAUCAGAACUCACGGCCGGCAGCCCCGGGGCCGAGCCGGAGGGCGACCGCGGAGUUACCGGCGCGAAAUCCGGGCGUGGUAGGAGGAGGCGCGCGUCCGGUGGCGAGGACGUCCUCGCGGACGUCGGAGGUGUGCGCGGUGUGCCUGGAGGAGGUGGAGGUGGAGGCGGCGGAGCAGACGCGGGUGACGCGGCUGCCGUGCUCUCACCGCUACCACUCCGACUGCGUCCUCCCGUGGCUCGCCGCCCACCCCGACUGCCCCUGCUGCCGCGCCUCCGUCGUCCCUCCCCCUUCUCUCCACGUGCCCUCUUAGCGCAGGAUCUUGUUGCGCUGAAAAAUGUACGAAACUUAUAGCUGAACUAUAUAUAGCUAGCAUUCAAUGGUACAGAUGUGCGAACUUUAAAAAUUGGUUAAAAUACAGAAUACUUUCUUAUAUAAGUAAUUUUUUUAUUUUUUUUUUUGUAUGUAAUCCUCUCAGAAAUUUUUUUUUCAUAAAUAGUUUUAUGAAAUUUAUAUUUCUUAAGAUUGGUUAUAUUUUCGUCGUGCAAGUACCACGCAAGCGCCACGUGGAUAUAGAACACGUGUUCAACUUAAUCUGGGCUAUCAGUCAGGCUCAUGUGGCACUCGCGUGGCGAAAAUAGGAUCAAUCUUACAAAUAUAAAUUUUGUGGGUCUAUUUAUGAAAAAAAUUUUGAUGAGGUUAAAUGCAAAGCAAGCCUUUUUUUUUUUCUGACUUUCAAAAUUUUAUAUUUUGUCCUCUUAAAAUUUUAAAAACGUAUUGAGGAAUAUGACCUUAAUGGAGAGGGCAAAAUGACUGAAUCAUUUUUAUUUUUUCUAUAAAAAAAAAAUUUUGUAAUAUGUUUUUAUUAUUUUGAAGAAAAUUUUGAUAUAGAUUAUAAAAAAUAAACGGAAUAGUGAUGGAAAGAGUUAAAUGCAAUAAUUUAAAAUUUUAAAAGAAUAAAAUAUAAUUUUUUUAAAAUUAAAAAUAAAAAAUAAAAAAAUAAAUAUUUAUAUAAAAAAAAAAUUUGUAAUUCAGCCUUAAAAUUUUUUAUUUUACUACUCUUUGUAGAUACGGAAAAAGUAUAAGGGGAUUGGCUGAGCAGCAUAAAAUGGCAUGUAGUUGAUUGAUCUUAGGAAUAGUUCUUGUGCUAGUUGGAUCAUCAUACUUAUUUUAAUAAUAUUCUCUGGAACGGUUUUGGGAUGGUUGGAUUAACAAUUACCGCUUCUUUUCUUAUCAUAAUUAGAAUUUUAAUUAAGCCUAGUAUUAAAACUAAAAAAAAUUACGUAUGUAUUUUGUAAAUUUUGAUUGAUGUAAAAUGAAUAUGUUUAAUUUAAUUAUAGUUAUCUUGUUUGGCAUGGAGAUUGGAAUAUCUGUUAAAUUUAAGUAGAUUGGAUAACUCAAAUUAUUUAAGUUAAAAAUUCUAUCUGUCCACUAAUUAGAUAGAAAAGUAGGAAGAAUUUAUACUAAAUUAGUUAAGUCUAGUUUAUUAAAAUUUAAAUUAGUUUAAAAACUUAAAUCGCAUCUAUUAAUAAUUAAAAAGUUUAUUUUGUAAUGAUUAUUUUAAGAAUUAUUUGCAUACACGUUCCUGCAAACAUAGUGAAUUACAGAUAUAUUCCUGCAAAACGAAAAUUUAAUAAGUUAUCCCUGCAAAAGUCCUAAAUUAUGCAGAUAUGUCCCUCUGGUUAACAUUCGUUAGUGAACUGUUAAUUUUUUUAACAGUUUUCUUGUGAAAUGACCUUUUUGUCCUUACAAAUAUAUCCCUCCAAAAUAUUCCUCUUUCCCUUCUAUUUCUCUUUCUCUUUCUCUUCGGGCCACCGGAGCUACGACGGUGACGGCGCGGGGUCGGGCUCGCCGGCGACGAAGAAGAGGGAAGAGAAAGAAGCAGAGGAAAAAGAAGAGGAAAGAGGAAGAAGGAGAGGAAUAGGGAGAGGAAGAGGAAAGAGGAAGAGGAAGAGGGAGAAGGUUUGCUGCCGUCGCCGCAGCCGCAGCCGCAUUUCCUCCCUUGCAGGCGACGAAGAAAAGGGAAGAGGGAGAGGAAGAAGAAGGGCGAAGAGGAAAAAGGAGAGGAAGAGGGAGAGGGAGAGGGUUCGCCGCCGCCGCCGCAUCUUCUCCCUCGCCGGCCACGAAGAAGAGGGAAAAGGAAGAGGAAGAGGAAGAAGAAGGGGGAAGAGAAAGAGGGAAGAGGAAAAGGGAGAGGGUCCGCCGCCGCCACCGCCGCAUCUCCCUCGCCGGCGACGAAGAAGAGGGAAGAGGGAAGAGAAAGAGGAGGAAGAGGAAGAAAGAUAAAACCAUCAAUUCACAUUAUAAUUAACCAUGGUUAAGAAUUAUAACCAUGGUUAACGAAAAUUUUCUACCAGACCUUAAUGGCAGGAAUAUAUCUGCAUAAAUUAGGACUUUUGUAAGAUAACUUAUGAAAUUUUUAUUUUGCAGGAAUAUAUCUGUAAUUCACUAUAUUUACAGGAACGUGUAUGUAAAUAACCCUUAUUUUAAAUAUAGAUGUACUUUGCUGAUGGGAAGGGCAUUUUUGGAAGAGUCCUUAAACUGGUCUAAAAUUUAUAUUCUCUGUUUUAUAUGUAAGUAGUAAACUAGUUAAAGGGUCCGUAUAAUGCAUGUCUCAUUUAUUUUUAAAUAAAUUUAAAAUUGAAAAGUAGAUUAUUUUGAAGCACGGUUUUCAAAUAAAUAAACUAAAAAUCUUAUUUUUAUAGAUUAUUUUUUUUUUUCGUAUCCUCUCAAAAAGUUGUAAUUUCAUUAACGUCCCUCCAAAGUGAAAAAUAUUGUGAGGGUUUAGAGAAACUGGCGAUAAUUUUAUGUUUAGAAGGAUAUUGAUGGUAGAUUCGUAUGUUUAGAGGGAUAUUAGUUAUAUUUGCAACUUUGAAGGAGACCUUACGAUAUUUACUUUUUUUUUUUAAUGUUCGAUAAAGGAGAAGAAAAUUUUCUCUCUCCGGAAAGUGAGUCCGUCUACAGAUUCAAGUUUAAAAUUUGUGUUUUUACAUAUAUAUAUAUAUAUAUAUAUAUAUAUAUAUAGAGAGAGAGAGAGAGAGAGAGAGAGAGAGAGAAAGAGAGAGAACUAGACUACUAUGCUAUUAAUAGUAUCAAGUCAUUAGUGCUAUCAAGUUUUCGGUCAUUGGAUUAAGAGAUGUGCGGUUAGAAUGAUGUGGGCCCUCUAGAGUUGAGUGGGUAGUUGGUUGAAUAGUAUGAUCUAACGGGUGAAAAUGAUCAAAGGGGUGAAUCUAACGGCGGAAAACUUGAUAGCAUCGAGUGCUUCAUGCUAUUAAUAGCAUAGUAGCCAUAAUCAUAUAUAUAUAUAUAUAUAUAUAUAUAUAUAUAUGGUGAAGCUACUACGCUAUUGGAAGCACGGAGCCUUCCGUGCUUCCAGCUCGUUUUCGAUGUUGCGGCUUUUGAAUCGUCAAUCGGCUCCAUUAAACUUGAUCUAGAGUACUUGAAGUAUCUAGAAAAUAAAUUAUGCGAUUUUUCAAUAUUAUUUGCCUAGUGAACUAAGGGGCUUAAAAUCAACGGCUAAAAGUAAAAAUCUUACAAAAUGUAAUAAUAUGACAUUAAAAUUUUGAAUCAAAGAAAUUUCUAUAUAGUAUAAAGAAUUUUCUAUAUAGUAUCGGCUAAAAGUAAAAAUCUUUAAUAUGACAUUAAAAUUUUGAAUCAAAGAUAUUGAUCUUGUUUUAUAUAGUAUAAAGAAUUUUCUAUCAAAAUUUUACGUGAUUUAGAUAUUUUUACACCGUUAAACUUGCAAACGGCUCACUAUGGCCAUUGAAAUUGUUGAUUUUGAGCCCAUUCGAUCACUAGGCAAAUGAUAUCGAAAAAUAAUAAAAUUUAUUUUCUAGGUACUCAAAAUACUCUAGAUCAAGUUUAACGGAGUCGAUCGACAAUUCGAAAGUCACAACAUCGAAAACGAGCUGGAAGUACAGAAGGCUCCGUGCUUCCGAUAGCAUAGUAGCCUCACUAUAUAUAUAUAUAUAUAUAUAUAUAUAUAUAUNUAAACCAAUAACUCACUCAACUCUAGAGGGCCCACAUCAUCCUAACCGUAUAUUUUUUAAUCCAAGGGCCGAAAACCUAAUAGCACCAAAUGCUUGGUGCUAUUAAUAGUAUUCUAGCCUAGGUCUAUAUAUGUAUUACAUUUUCUGUAUUUUCGAAAGUAUGGAGGUCCCUUAACUUUUGAGGUGUUUUCGUUGAUUGGGCAUCCGAUUCGACGAUCGGCUUCAUUAUGCAUAAUUUAUGCUAUUAGAUUAUUUAGAAAUCAAAUUUUAUAAUGUUUCAACAUUAUACGUUAAGUGAUCAAAGGGUCUCAGAAAUGACUAUUUUAAUGGCUAAUGUGAUACAUUUAUAAGUUCAAAGAUAUAGAACAAUUUAAAAUUGGUGAACUUUUAAUAAAAAAUUCUAUUAAUACUUUCAAUUUGAAAUUUAAGUCUUUAUUACUAUUUUAUAAGAUUUUUAUUUUCUAUCGUUCUGUCACGCUCCAGAUUACUCGUUUUUUCGGGCACGCCGACAAAUCCGUCGUAUACAAAGAAAUUUUUCCUGUAUACGAAGCGAUAGCUGUACAUGUACCUGUAAUUAUACAACACUACAACCAGUAGUAUAGAGCUGCUAAAAAGAAACAUAUAUAAAUAACAUCGGUUCAACAUACAUACAUAGUAUCCUGAUACAAAAAUACACGCUUCAGCAAGGUACAACAUCAGUAUGUAUAAGAACAAAAAACUACAACUACCUGUAGCUGGUAUAAAUCUCUAGGUUAGCAGCAACUGGGAAGGGAUCGAGCUCACGACUCCCUUUCCACGAUCAGUCUCUACGACAGCAGCAGCCGAAGAAGAGGGCUUUGCAAAAAUGAUCCACAACUGGGUGUGAAAACUACUGCAAAAAGAAGUAGUCCUCAGUGGGUACCGCUAUCGACCUCAACGGCUCACCCACUAAGUCUACAGAAGUAAGUAGUGAUAGUAAGGAAAGCCGGAACAAAUCUACAGCUAUAUGCCGCUAUACUAUCAUGAUCUAAUACUAACAAUCUGUAAAAAAUGUAAAUCCUGACCCAAUCUCACUAGGGACUGUGAACACACCCAUCCCGCCUGUCGAAGCUAUACUAACUACCACCACGCUAGGUCGUCAGUAGAGAGCAAGUCCAAACAGGACAAACCGACAUCAAUGCAAAAGCACUAAGCCCGACUCCGGAGUGGCACUCGCGGGCGCUACCCAACCGAGUAUGCAAGCGUAUCUCUGCCGAGCUCAAUCAGGCUCUCACAGGCUGUAAUCAAAGCAGAAGGGUCUAACAGGUCGAACAACCAUACUAAACAUGCUCUCGGCACAAUCUGAUACAAAAAAAGUAAACCGGGUCCACCGUCAACCACAACGGCACCCAACAGUCCGGAACAGUCUAUAGACUGCUGCAAAAAUAAGCUCGGCAUCUCAGCACGAGCGUAAAUACAUUCUACACUAUUCUGAGUAUUUACCGUCCACGAACUGCGGUGAUACAAAUAAACUACGGCUCCUACAGCUAAAUCUAAUAGUUUCAGAAAAUGACAGUAUAGAAUCGAUAAUUUUCUCCUAAGUUAAUUCCAAGUCCAACAUGUAUAAGUUAGCUAACAUUUUAAGCUCCAAAUUCAGAUUUCAAAGCAUGCAAAUCAAUGAGUUUGAGCUAAUUAAUAAAAUCUACAAAAACUAACAAUACAUGCUGACAACACUAGACUUAGGAGGAAACCCGCAGAAGCCGGUAAGCAUAACAUUAACCCACCUCAAGCGCGAGUCCAGCAAGGUUAGGAAGUAGCUGGAAUAAGCCCUGCCAAGCUCAGCCACGAACCAGCACACUCCUCUCAAAAGAUCUACCACAAGAACACCAAAAUUGCAUCAAUACCCUUAAAUUUCAGCACUAAAGCUUAAUUCCUCCAAUUCCAAUGUCAAAACUCACCUUUCAAACUUUAAAUCCACAAUUCAGGUGAAGAACACUAUCAAAACCGGUAGGGAAAAGUGGAGCAAUAACCUCUGGUCGAAAAUCCAGCUUCCUCUAAAGAUUAAACCAGGAAAACUAAGAAAAACCCAAGUUUUAGCUCCAAUACAGUAGCAGUUCAGAAAAACAGCAAAUUAACCAUACUAACUUAAAUCAAUUCCUGUCAAAAUGGGCUCCACGAAAUCUCCAAGAAGUCUACUAACCACCAAACUAAGUUUCGCAGCAAACCGACCUUCCUACGUCGCACACGAGCCAAAACGCCGAAGGUCGCUGCUGGAAUUCUGCUGGAAUUGCAAUGCUCAAGGUGGAAAUUGUAGAAUUUGGAUAAAUUGUAGUAUUUUGAAGGACUAGAGUGCAAAAUAUGGCUUCACUGUGAAGGAGAGGUGAAAAAGCUUCUCAGGGAUCGAACACAAGCCUUUUAUAAGGAGAAGAGUAGGUCUGAUAAGCCCCAGGAACAAAAGAAUACAAACCUGCUGUCCUGUAGGAACGAGCACUUUCGGGCGCCCGAAACCUACUUCUGGGCGUCCGAAACCUCCAGGCCAUACAAAGUUCCCUCUUCGGUUCCUCCGCCUACGGUACGAUGCGCCCAAAACCUGGUCCGGCGGAUCUCACCUAUUACCAGACACGUGUCAGCACAGUCGAUAUUCCCAAAGUGAACAUCCGGACCAACAUCCGGGCGGCCGGAACACAUGAUCCAAAUUGACUUCCAGUUCUGUUCAGUUCAGCACUCAAGUUCUGGACGACCCAAACCAUGUUCUGGGUGCCCGAAACUGGCAAAACUCCAGUUUUGCUUAUUUGAGUGCGCCAAGUCCAUUUCUGCAUCCAUUUCGUGCAGAAACGACACCGACUCAGUCCGACACUCUCCAUAUGUAUCGACCAGUUACUAAAACUAAAACCAAUCCGAUACCAAACCCUCGGGACACUACACGUUCAUAUUAAGACUACUCGUUCAUUAGGCAAAUAUAGUAAAAAAAAAUGAUGAAAUUUGAUUUCUAAAUAUUUAACAAAGCCAAUCACCAAAUCAAUUAUAUAUCCCAUCAUCGAAAAUAAUUUGAAAAUAUGAAGGUUUUCAUACUUUCGAAAGUAUAGUAGCCUAGCUAUAUAUAUAAAUAUAUAUAGUGAUAAAGGGCUUUGGUAAUUGAGUUUAAGUAUUUCAGCAGAUCAUUUCAUUUAACAAAUUAUUAGUGCAAGUUAAGCCAAAAUGCCGGCCAGUGCGUGUUAGUGGGUCUGAUCAGAACGUCAAGAUCUACAUUGGCUAUAUCCCAUAUAUGAAAAUAUAUCCGAUUACAGCAUAAGUGGUAAAGAGUUUGAUGGUUGGUAUAUGAGAUUUCAAGUUUGAAAUCUAAUUACUUCACAUUUUGCAUUGAACAUUUAUCAAAAACUUUGAUACACUUAACACUAGCCAAAAUUUUUGAAUUUCACUGCUUUAUGACCAACUUGUAAUUCGAAGUUUAGCACUUUGACGACUUUAAUUAUUGUUUAAUUGUUCAUAAGGACUUAGAAGUACCGUUAAAAAUGAGUACAUGAUAAUCAGUGUUACAUCAACAUGCUGAAAUAACGUAAACGAUCAAUGAAAAAAAAAAAAAAAUCAAUUCUUGCAUCCUAAUAAAUAGAUUAAUUCCACUUUGCAAUCACGUGUACGUAGUACUAUGUAAUUAUUAUCUUUAGCAUUUAAACAGCUGAUCUUUUUUUAAAAAUUAAAAUAUCAACCAAAAGAAUCGAUUGUUAUAUUUAAAAUUCGAAUUUUACUAAGGAAGAGUUUGAAAUUUAAGUAAUCAAAUGCAGCACAAAACCACAAAUACUCGUUUAGUUUGGACUAAAGCUAAAUCCGGUUUUAAUUGUGAAUUAAUAUCCUUAGCAAUUUUUUACUUCAUCUUGGAAUGAGGAUAAAGUUAUAAUAGUAACUUAGUUGUACAUUUUUACUAUCUAAUUCUUGUACUAUCAAAAGACAAUUAAAGAGAAGACCCAAAAUAAUAUUGUAAAGAAAACAAAAAAAGAACAAAACCAAGAAAACUAAGUUUAAAAGAUUACAAACUCUUAAUGAUCAAGAUUCUGAUUACAGGUGAAGAGAAGUAUCCACAUCUUUCCCAGUACAGUUUCUUAGAUCAUGGCUGCUCACAGCAUGUGCAGGCUUAGUUGGCCGAAAGCCGACCGGGAGCGACGACGUCUCGAGAGCCGAGAAUUCUGCACGAUCGUCAUCCGUACUGCUAAGUCCCCGAUACAUCGGACCGUCUGAAGGCCUCAAAGGCUGAACCAGAUCGGGGUGGAAGAACCACCCCGGCUGGCGUUCGCCGCCGGCAGCGGCGGCGGCGGUAGAAGCAGCGACGGUCGACGCUCGUCGGAGCUCUCUCUCCUCCCUCAUCUCCUUCACCUUCUGGAGUUGCCUGAAUCUCUCUUGAAGUAAAGCAAUUGAAGAGGAGUAGAGGAUAGUAGUGUUAUUAUUGUUAUUCUCAAUAUUGUUUCCCCUCCCCAUCAUUGAUUAGAUGAUGGAUUGUGUUGAGAUCUAGCUCUAGGGAUUUUGGGGAUUCAGGUGAUGUUGAGAUUGGUGGGAGUGCUUUUAUUUGUGUGCUUUGUGUUGGGAGGUGGGUGGGUGGGUUAAGUAAUUAAGUGGAUAUAUAAUUAUUUGUAGGGAGAUUUGUAGGGGAUUUGGGUGUGUGUUUCAUGCAUUGCUUUCAUGUGUUUCUGUGCCAUCUGAUAAUUGGCCAUGAAUGAUAAUAGAAGGAAGAGAAGAAUUAUUGCCUGCAUCAAGUGCACCUUGCAUUUUAUUUUGAAAAACUAAAUUACAGAAAAACUUACUUAUAAAUAUCUAGCUAUUUUUUUACUUUUCCAUUGUAACUUUCAAAAAUCUAUAUUUAGCCACUUAAUAUUUCAAGUCGUUGUAUUUAGCCCCACUCCGUUAGGGUCCCAUUACUAUUCCGUUCAUUUUUUAUAAUUUAUAUCGAAAAUAUUCUUCAAAAUAACAGAAAAAUAACAGAAAUAUAUUAAAAAAUUAUUAUGUUAUCAAAAGAAGUAAGGGCAACUUGGUUAAUUAUUUUGCCCUCUCCAUUAAUGCCUUACUAUUCUGAAAAUAUUUUUGAAAUUUUAACGGGGUAAAAUAUAGGUUUUUGAAAGUCAGAAAGGAAAAGUAAAAAAACAGGUAUUUAUAGAAAGAUUUUUUGUAAUUUAGCCUAUUUUAAAAUACUUAUUAUUGAGUCAUUGCAGAAGGGGCUGUUUGGUCUACAUUCUGAAAAAUAAUUAAUUUUUGCAAAAUUAAUUUUAAUUUGAAGAAUUAAUUUUGGUUAAAAGCUGUAAAGUGUUUGGCAAAUCUUAACCAUUUAGAAUCAAAAAUUUAAUUUUCGACCUCUAAAAUCAGAAAUUUGAUUUUAAGAAUCAAAAUUAGAUUUUGAAAAAUAUAUUAUCAAACGCUCUAUUGAAGGAACAAUUAUUUUUUGGCUCUAAAUUUACUUUUCAAAAUCUUUGCCAAACACCCCUGAAUAAUGUUAUGCUCGCUCUCAAUAGUAAGGCUUCGUUUGGAAUUGCGGAGAGAUUUGCGGAGAGAUUGUAUUACAUGCGGUGAGAAAAUACGAUGGAAAAAAAUCAUGUUUGUUUCCAUAAGUAAUAUUGCGUUUCCAUAUAUCACGAUGAGUGGGUUAUAAUAUAUUUUCUACGGUAUCACCGGAGAAUGCAGAAGUAUAUCCCUAUAUACCUUUAUCCUAACUCCAUUUCAUCUGAUAGCGUUAGAUACGUCUCAAUAUCAAACUAAACCUAAAAUAGAGUAACGUUUGGAUUGAAAUAGUUAGUUUCUUUGGAUAGUAUACGCCGUUAGUUUUAUAGAUCUCGGCCAUGUUUGGUUAGUGGUCAGGGGAAUAUUUCUCUUUAUCCCCGUAAACACCAUUCAAAAUAAAAUAUCCCUUUUGUUUAGGGCUUAACGGAUUAUUCGAGUUAAUUAGCCCAGUUCUCCCCCACAUGAAAAACAAGCCAGAACAAUGAAUUUGUGUUCAUUUUGCUUUCUAUUAUCCCUUUUAUACUUUAUUUUAAUCAAUUUCAGAUAAAUCAAAUGAAUGCUCAAAUUGCAUGCUACAAAGUUAAUUUUUCUAAGAUGAUUUGCAAACAUACUAAAUUUGAUAAAUAAUCUGUUCCUCUAUAUUUAAAAUUAUAUAUUUAUAUUUAAUUUUAAUUAGUUGUUAAAUUAUAAAAUUGGAAGUAUAUUUUCACCCCUAUAUUCAAAAUUAUACUUUUAUACAUUAAUUCUAUCUCUUUUCUCUUGUAUUGAAUUAUAUUUCAUUAUUAUAUCCUUAUUUAAUUUUUAUCAAUACAAUAUUUUAUUCCAACAUAAAUAUUCAAACACUAUAUUCUAACAUAAACAUCCAAAUACUAUAGAGAUAUCCUAUAGGAAUAAACAAAUAGCAUUCAAAUGUAAUUUAUAACUUAUUCCAUAUUCUUCUACACUAUCCCCUGUUCUCCCCUAUUCUCGGAAAAGAAUAAAAGUUAUCCUCCAUAAUUUAGUUCUUGAACCACUCACAGUCUUAGUGUUAUCGUUCCUGUAAUUCAGAUUCUACCCCUAUCUAUCUAUGAGAGUAAGCACGGAUUACUUGCCUCGUAAUCAAAAUUAAUUCAUUUACUGGCAAGUUCUGCAACAUUCAAAAAGAUAAUUAUAUUUCUUAAUAUACUGAAAAAGUUUAUAUUAUUUGAUAGACAAGAAGUGCGGUCACAUGUUCAGAUAGCUAGGUAUACAAUAUUAGACCUUCAAGUCAUUUUUCUCGUAUUAAGAUAAAUUACAUGUUUGGUGAAAUAUAUUAUCCUACUAAUUUUUUAAUGUCAAAACCUUCUUAUAUGCUAAAAUCAAAUUCUAAUUUAUAAUUAGGCAAGAAAAUCUUUAUAGCAAGCAUAUAAGUUGUUACCAAAUAACAUAUUCUGACAUUCAAAUAGGACUUAUCGAAUAAUAUUGUGUUAUGACAAAAAUGAAAAAGAUCUAGUAUAUUAAGCAUGAAAAUGCUCAAUAAACAUCGAGAAAAAGAGAAGAAAAAUAAAACUCAUAAAUAUUUACGUGAUUCAGCGAAUUAAUGGCUUACAUCUACGGGAGAAAACAACGGAGAUUUUCAUCGUAAUUAAAAUGGAGUACAAAAGAAGCCUUUCUCAUAAAAAUUCUAGCCUCUAAAAUACAUCCAUACUCUCUCUCAUUUGUUGCACCAAAUUAAUCUCAAUAAAAUUAGGCAUAAUUUUAACUUAACUUAAUAGGUUGACUGAAAUAGAAUAUGGUCAGAAACCAUACAGUUUUAAAAUUUAAAAUAUAUCUAAUAAUUUCCAUCUUAACUUGAAUUCUCUAUCUUUUUUACCAAAACCCCAAAGAGCUUCUCGAGUGCUGUUGUUGCACAUACAAAUCAAGAAAGUCAACAAAAUAUUAAAUGGAUUAAUCGAAAUAGAAUAAAAUUAGAAACAUCUUGUGGUUUUAAAAUUCGAGACAUAUCUGGCGCAUCGUUUUCUAAAUAGUUAACUUUUUAAACUAGUUAAUAUUUGGGUUUUUUUUUUUAAUAGACUCUUAAAUUUCAAAAUAUCACUUAACAAUGGUGCACAAUAUGCAUGGUGCAUGCAAUGUUUUUUUUCUUUUUUUUUUCCUUUCUUCCUUCCAAAAGGUUUAGAGAGAGGAGAAUCAGGAAUUGGGGUGCAAAGUCCAAGAAAGAAAAGGGUUUUGGAGGUACUUGGUGAGGGAGUUAGGUUGGUGGGGAUGAGAGGGAGGGGGUGCAUAGCCCACUUUUUUUGAAGAGGGGAAAAAGGGUGAGAGAGUAGUACAAAGGAGGAGUGGAGUUUAGUGUUUGGAAUGUGUUUGUAGGAGAAUAUGAGGGUUGUGUGAUGGAAAAGGAUUGAGCUCUCUUUUUCUUGAUUCUUUUUUUUUUUUUAAUUUAUACUGAAUUUAUCUGAACUAUAAACUACUUGAAAAUAAUUAUUUAAUCUUUAAAAAUUUUGAUGCUACUAACCGAUCUUUCAAUUUAUUUGAUUUGAAUGAGUCGACAACACUUUAACUUUUUGAAUGCGUUGUUUAUUUUUAUAGAUUUAGUUAAUAUAUUUCACGCACUUUCCGAUACUAUAACUUUAUUAAAAUACGUGAUUAGUUUAAAUUUUAAAGUCAAAGUAUCAUUGACCGGCUCAAAUCAAACAAAUUAGAAGAUUGGAUAGUAAAAUCAAAAUUUUAAAAGAUUGAAUAGCCGAUUCAAAAUGAUAAAUAAUUCAAAUAAGUUAUGUACGUUUCUACCUUUUUCUAUUAAAUUACAAAAAAAAGAAUUUUUGUGUCCCAAUUACUUUUCUAUGUUAAAAUUUGCGUGAAUUUCUAUACUUUUUUACUGUCUCAAAUAGGUCAAAAAUUUUAAAAUAAUCAGUGAAUUUGAUUAUAAAUUUUUACUGAAAUGUGUUUGCACAUCAUGUUGCAUCUAUCUUAUUUGUGACAUGUAUAAUCAAUAAAAACUAGAUAAAGAGAUCUCCUAUUACGUACGGUGCGACGUUAAGUGCUGUAAUUUUAAAUUUUGAGAGGAUAAAAUACAGAUUUUUAAAAAUAGGGCAGUAAACUGUAAAAGAAGAUAUUUAUAAAAAAUUUUCUACAUUUUUGCCUUAUUUUUUGGUUAGAUUAUAAAAAGAACUUUUUGUGUCUCAAUUGCUUCUCUGUUAAAGUUUUGCUUAAUUUCCAUAUUCGACUUCACUAUCGUCUCCAAUAUGUCUCAAAAAUUUUAAAGUAAGUGAUGAAUUUGAUAGCAAAAUUAGUAAAAACUCCAAAAAUGCUGAAAAAUUAAAAUUGAUGAUUUUAUCAAAUAAUUCUAUUUAUUUUAUGCCAUUCUAUUCCAUUAAAUGUAACUAACAUCUUUUUGUGAAUUAAUUCUAUAAAAUUUUACAGAUGAAUUAAUUAACCAGCUUAAUACAGGAGGAUAAUUGAGACACGACCUAAAAUAUGCCAAAAAAGAGAAAAAAAUCUCCUUAUUUGUUUUAUUUUAGGUUAAACUUUAAAUACCAUCUCUCCUAUGUGAUUUCGUACUUUCUCACUUUAGUAUAUUGUGGUUUAAAGUGUAUCAAUUUAGUACCCUGCGGUUUUAUUUUUCUCUUUUCGUCAGCUCCUCCGUUAACAUUCUGUUCAAUUAUAUACAAAAAACUUCAGAUACCCUAUCUGGGUUUAUCGAAUAUUCACUUUAGUAUCUUUUAAUUUUAACUUUGUCACUAAUUUAAUAAAAAAAUUAAUUAAGGGGAUAAUAAAAAGAAAAAAAAAUAAAACUAUAGGGCACUAAAUUGACAUACUUUAAAUCACACGGUACUAAAAUAAAAAAAAUGCCAUGGUAUUUGAUGGUUUUUCUUUAUUUUAUUAUAUUUUUUGAAUGUUGGGCUCUGAAAGUGAUGCUUUUGGUAUCAAGUUAUCUGUCUUGUCCAGUUCCCAGAGGCUAGAAGGUGAAAGCAUUCCAAUUAAUAAAUGAAUGAAAUAGGGUUUAUGGUCGGAGAUGGUUUGUCUCAUUUUAAAUGUUCCCAACCAUCAAUUGGCUUAUUUGAGUACAUAUGUUUGCUUUGUGUAAUAAUCCUAUGGACAAAAGAAUUAGGUGAUUCCAACAGGACUAAGUACCCAAUGAUGAAAGGUUGGUUUCAAGGAGAAUAUAAAAUAGGAAAAUUUUCAAAUACCAUUCACGUGGUUUCAUAUUUUCUCACUUUAGUACCGCAUGUGGUUUAAAGUGUAUUAAUUUAGUGUCAUGUUGUUUCAUUUUUAUCUUUCUAUUAUCGAUUUCACUAAUUUUUUUUGUUAAAUCAGUGACAACGUUAAAACUAAAGGGUAUUAAAAUGAAUAUUCGAUAAACUUAGAUGGGUUAUCUAAAAUUUUUUGUAUAUAAUUUAACGAAAUAGUAACAAAGAAGCUGACGGAAAGAUUAAAAUAAAACUACAGAACACUAACUUGAUACACUUUAAAUCAUAGGACACUAAAGUGAAAAAGUGUGAAACCACAUUGAUGGUAUUUGAAAUUUACCCUAUAAAAUAACUAAAAAAGAGUUUUUUUUUUCUUUUUUUUUUGAUAAAAAUUUAAUGUCUAGAGAGAGAGAGAGUGUGUGUGUGUAGCAAACAGGGUGAGUACUAUUCAGUUCAAAUCGAACGGAUCAAAAUGGGUCCGUAUGAUUCAGUUUUAUUGUAAUCUGGUUUGGUUCGAUUUUAAAAAUUAAAAAUCAAAAAAAUUAAGUAAAUUGAACUAACCAAGAUUAUAAUAGUUUGAUAUAUUAAUCUUGAAUAGAAAAGAAGUAUUCAAUAAUUGUGGAUAAUAAUCAAAUAAUUAUUGAUGUUAAUCGUUGUUAUAUUAAAUUAAAUAUUUUUAACAUAAAAUUAAUUAUGAUUAUAUCUUAUUUUUAGUGCUUUAAAAAGAUCUAAACCAAAUAAAAAUAUUUUAUUGAAACCACAUAAAGUGAACCAAACCAAGCGAAUUAUUUUGGUUUGAUUCAAACAUCUAAUUCAGUAAGGAUUGGUCUUUAUAAAAAUUAUAAAAUCCGAAUCAAACUGAUAGAUGCUCACCCCUCACAUAUGGAUUCUGUGGGAAAAGGGUAUGAACAAUUUCAAGAAAAAUAAUUGAAAAGGGUUUUCCAAGUAAAUUCAAUGACCAAGAACUUGUUAUUGUUUGGUUCUUUUAAAAUAAUUAUAUAGGUGAUAUACACGUUUUGUUUUGCCCUUUUUUUAAAAAAAUCUUUGAGUUAAUGAGUGCAUGCACCAUUUUAUUAAGAAAAGAGGAGGGAUAAAUAUGCACGGUUACUCUGUUAAAAGAGUUAUUGCAGCAUUUCUUUUCGCGUUGCUUUUUGGUGUUGCACUAUUAUUUCUAAUGCCGGCCGUAUAAUUCUUGUCAUAUAGCUUCAACAAAUUUAAUUUAUUAAAACCGAACAGCAAACACCGGGGCUGGCGAAUAGCGGGGCAAAUUUGGUUCGGGUUCCGAUGAGAGCGAGGUUGCGUAAAGCGCAAGGGACGCAUUUAAUGCACGGCAGGACCAUACAUUAAGGUAUACGUAUCUCAAAAAAUACGCGAAAGGUGAAUGUAGACGAGAGGCAUUUUGGUCAGCUAAAAAUCCGGCCCGAAUCUGCAAAAUCGUAAAAGGUGGCCCACUUUUCCAAAAGCGCAAAACUAAUGAAUUAUUUAUACAAAUUGGCCAAAAAUAAAAUAAAAUAAGAGUAAAAUAAAAUAAAAAAAUAAAUUACUAGCAAGAUAUAUACAUGUGUUAACAUUUUUUUAGAUUCAAAACCCGAUAUGAAUAAGAUAAACCUAUCCGAAUAGCAUAUUUGGCAUUCAAAAUUUAAAUAGAAUAAGAUGAGAAAGUGAUAUUCGGAAGUGAUGGUUUAGCGUUUUGGCGACGACGGUGAUGGAGGAGAAUAUCAAAUACUAUGAGGUCAAAUAAUCCUAUUGUGGUGACCUUAUGAAAACACACCCACAAGAUUGGAAGUGAAAAGAUUAAAUUCAGAAUUCAUUACAUAUGAUGUCCUGCCAUGAAAGAGUCUACUAUACGACAGUCACACCACAUAAUUUAUAACCAACCAAUUGUAUCUAUUUUUUUUUAGAUAGAAGUACAACAACAAAAAUAUUUUUCUAAAAAUUAUGAUGUGAUGGGUAAACUUCAUGAAUGCAUUUUGAUUGGCUAAAAAUAUCACAUCAGCAAUAUAACAGUCACAUUCUAGACUUUUCCCCUGCCAUGAGCUUCCAACGCAUCCGAAUGGUUAAAUCUUCCUCCGCAGAAAAUCACCACCUCAUCCUACCUAUUUAACUCAAUCCUAUCUAUUUUAAUACAUAUAAUAAUAAACAAAGGCAAAAAUGUAUAUAACUUACCUGAACUAUAGUCCGUUUUGAUUCAACUAUCUAUCCCCAUCCUUCUAAGGUUUAAUUUUGGUACCUAGUUGUUUAAUUUGAUGAAGUCAUUUGAUGAUUCUUUUGGUACAACACUUGUUUUAAAGAAAGUGCACUUACAUGAAUUUUGUUAAAUAUGACAAUCAGAGUACUUGAAAGUAAAUGACACAUCCAAAUUGCAAAGUGGAAGAAUUUUAAAUAGAUCAAAUCAAAUAAAUUAAAAUAUUAGAUAGCAAAAUUGAAAUUUUUUAAAGAUUUGACUUUCAUGAGCCACAGUUCAGGGAAGUUCCAUACAUAUUUAUCAGAAACAACAAAAGAGGAAAAAGAAAAAAUAAAAUAAAAAACUGUGCCCCUUAAAUGUGCUUACACAAUAACUGCUAGAAUAGAAAGAGUACUGAUAUUAACACAUAUUUAGUUUAGAUAGAGCAAAUCAGACUCAUUGAUUCAAUAUGAUCAAAUUUAAUCGGUAAAUAAUGAUUGUAAAUUUACCUAUUAAUAACAAAAUUAGUUCUAUUAGUAGCACCCCGCAAAACAAAGCUAUGAGAGAGCUUGGUCAACUUAACCCAACCUGCUUAUUACAUUUUCUAACCUAUGUAAAGAGAUUUAAGUAGGUAAAGUAAUUUUCAAUUUUAUAUGCCUGCAAAAAGUAAUAAUAUUACAAAGACACAUUUAAAUAAUCAUAAAUGUCAUAAUUAAUUUUCCUGAUAACCAUAAAUAUCAUAAUCAAUCUUUCUGAUAACGAUUCAUGAAAUUAUCCCAAGCUACCUGUCCUUCUUCCCAAAACCUCACUCGCCACCUACUAAGUUUCUGUGAGCAAAAGAAAAAGAAAAGUGACUAAAAAGUUCUUUCAUUUUACAGCAGCAAAUAUCACCUAAUCAUCUGGAUGGGAGACAUAAGCUUGAUCCGCUAUAAAUUGUUGAUAUAUUAAGUGUGACGAUUUAAUCUACUAGUAUUAAUAACUUGUUGGACCCAAACAACUUAACCAAAAUGUUUCUAAGCCCAGUUUAUACUGUUAGAGCUAUUUGUUCGUAUAUUUACAUGCACAAUUCUUUUCCUACCCAACCAAGCCUACUGGCCUGAAAUACUCAAAUCCAGUUUUUAUUGGUAGCGUCCCUAAUUCUUAAAUUUCCAUACAUAAUUUUUUCCGGUUCGACAUGGGAAUAUUGGGGUGUCGCAGGUCUAUAAUUUGUUCACUCAUGCAAUCCGAAGAUACGACAUGUACUAGCCAAUACAUCAACAACUUAUAUAACGAAACUAUUCUGCAAAACCCAAAACAUUUCCCUUCCUGUAAAACAAUGGGUUUAGAGCACAAAAAGAUGAGUUAAUUCAAAUCAAAGAGUAGGAGAAUGCAUGAUGAGCACAAUGACUGCCUUAGAAGAAAGACAGCCUCUAUUAUUGGCUAAAGAGCAAUUCUCAAUCAACAUCAAUACUGUUUGAAAGAAAAAAAGGAACACCGCGAUUUAUCAUGGGGUCACCAAUAAGAGAGGAUAAGAUGUAAGAUGUAUGCACCUUUAACAGAUGACAUUCUACAGCUUCAACUUACACCAUCAAGGCAUUUAAAGAAGUCCUAAUCAUCACACUCAAUGAUGCUCCCAUAACACCUGACAGAAUCACAGUACCACAAAAUUACAAAGUAGUCAGAAAAUAUAAUUGGGAAGGAGAGAACAAGCAUUUUGCUACAUUAGAUUUUCUUCUCACUUUUUAAAAAACGGCCUCUAGACCUCAAAAUUAAAAGCUAUUGGUUGAAACUUCUACUCUUUUUUUUUCUUUAAGAAGCUAUUCGAACUGAAAAACACUUCUGCAGAAGACUUAGCUGAGCUAAAGAGGUCCAAAGUCAGAUACUUAGAGAGAACUAAAGCUCCUUAAGGGCUUCCAGAAAUUGAGAUAAUACACUACCUUAAUUAAUCUCCUUUGCUAUUUCGAAGCUGUAUCUUCAAAGAGAUAAAGGCGAUUAAGCAAAGGAGAAAGAGAUUGCCCUUUUUAAAGAUUUAAUCUGAAGCAAAAUUUAUUAGUACUUUGGUUUCAACUAGACAGUUAGCAACCUCUAUAGUAGUAUGAAAAAUGAAAAAGAGAAAACACUAGCCACAAGCUCAGAAAUGCUGAUAGAUACAAUGCUCAUCACCGUAAACCAAUUGUUGAUGUACAUAACAUUUUCAAUUACCGUUUUCUAAUGUCACAAGGUUAUCAAUUGACUUGCAAAACAUUAUGGUGAAUCAAACAUGGGCUGGCGCUAAUUAAUAUCUUGAACUCCAGAAAAACUUCAAACUAAACGUAGGUAACUCUCAAGUCACAAACUUUCAAGUACCAACUGUAAAUAAAACAAUCCACUGGGGUGAUUUUAUCUACUUCUGAAAAGAAGAGUGCAAUUGCUCAACAUCGACCGUGAAACAUUCUAGCACUCAAAUAACAAGUUUAAUGGACUUACAUAGUACACCUUGUUAUUUCCCUCUUUCAUCAAGCUUUAUUCUACAUAUGCAUGUUGUUAUUAUGAUAUUGUAAAUGUCCUUUAUGUUCUGCGGCUGAGAUUCUGUAAUUGAUACUAGUAUAUUCUUUGAAGGGUCAAAAGAUCCUUUACAUCCUCAUUUCUGAAGACCAAUUAACAAUAACGACAAGCAAAUGCCUAGGAUGGAACUGACGCAUUUGCGUGUGUUUUAUAUGCUAUCAAACAGAACAGGCAAUAUUCCAAGAAUUAAUGAGAUAAUGAUGGAAGAGAGUGUUAUCGACUAGUUUAAUCAUCAGACAGAAAAAAAAUAAAGAAAUAAAAAUAAAAAGAGAAGACACAUACCUUCUGUGUCAGAUGGUCUGAGGAAACUACCAUUCUUUACAAUUUAAUCUCCUCUACCAGUCGAAAUAGUUCAUAGAGAGAAGAACACCUAAAUGCAGAUCAUAUUUUAGAAGCAGAACAUAUAGGAAAAAUUCCAAAAAUAUUGAACAAAAAAUAUGACAGUUUCAUUGUGCUUUUCUUUCAAUCUUGACCCUUCAGGUCUGUGCUUUUGCCUAGUCAAAAAGUACCAAAAGGUAAUUACAUAAAGUGGCGAGUUAAUGUGCAAACUCUAACAUGCCACCAACCAGCUACAUCGUGCAAACAUCAAACAACUACGGAUGGAAAGAAGGGACUAAGAAAACUCGACAAAAAAAAGGUAACUAGUUGAAUUGGAAGCUAUUUGACAUAACAAAGUUCAAUCACAUCAAAUGUUCCUAUUACAAAGAAAGUGCUCAAAUUUCUACGUAGCUGGCAGUAUUGCCAUAAUACAAUUGGAAAGAGAAAAGGAAAAAGAAGAAGAAGAAGAGAAAAACUGAAUAGUAUACAAGAUUGCCUCUCAAUUCUGGCUAGAAAAUAGAAAGAGAGAAAGGUUUGAGACCUGACAAAUAUGGAAGCAUCUCCAAUCAAAUAUUGGCGUAACAAAAGUAACCUGGCAAGAGUUCUCUAUAAUGAGCUUGUGUCAGUUGACAGAAUAGUUAGGUGAAAAUGUGAAAUUUGGGACGAGGUUAGCAUAACUACAUCUUCUCAACGGCUGGUUGUCCCAAAUCUAAAAAAUUCAAGAAGUAAAUUAUUGAAGUGCAUACAAGGACCAACUUUUUUCAAAAAAACUGUAUCCAAUGAAUGCUGAUUGAUAGCUUCUUCCCAUGCUUCUUCAGAAUUGUGUUAAGAUAUGUCCCCAUCUAACCUAAGCAGCAUAAUAUACCUCAGGAGCCAAGCAAACAUUAAAAAUGAUGGUAUAUUGAAAAAAAAACUACAAGCUUUUACCUGGGGAUGCAGUUCAUCCAGUAACGCUUCAAAUAAUUCCAACCCAAACUUCACAAGCUCCUUCAAAUCAACAGGAGAAAUAUCAAAUUUCGCUUAUAAAAAACUAUAGAUAAAGCACAAAAAUGUUCCGGUAGUUAAUGUGUAAAACCGACACAGGUUGAGCAUUAGAAAUACUACAAUAUUUUACUAAGAAAUACAUUAAUAUCCAAGGAACAGAGGUCACAAAUACAAUAUGAUUAUCAAAUAAAAUCAGUUCCAACAAGAAUUCUGGUUUUUCAAUUUACAGAACUAGCAAUGAUUGAGAAAUUUGUCAGAUAUGAGAAUGAACGUUCAAAAUCAUAGUUUCCAACAAUACUCGCCCAACAAUAAAGAACAAGUGAACAGCAACUGAAAAUCAACAUAUUGAACUAUCAUCGAUAUUCAUCGUCAAGAAUCUAGAUAAAAGUCAUAAAUUGUUUUUUUUUUUGGUUGCAAUGAAAAUAUACUUGAGAUGGAGCCAAUUUUUGGUAACAUAAGGAUUUUCUGACUUCAAUAGGAAUGCAAAAUGAGUUAAUGCACCUCCAAAUUAGAAGCUAUAAGUAGCAGCUUCUAUUUCUAGUCCUUUGGGCUUCUCAAUUAGUUGAGUUCUACUUGAAAAACACUUCUGCAGGGAUUCAAUUGAGCCGAAGAGGCCCUGAAUUAGGUACCAGAGUCAUGAAGCUUUUUAGGGCUUCGAGCAAUUGAGAUAAUACCGCUAUCAUGAUUACCUAAAUUGGCUCUUUCAGAUUGGUAUACUCAAAAAAAAAAAAGAAGAGAAGCUUGUUGAAUCAUCGGCACUAACCAUAAUUCCAAAAACUUCAGCAGUUAGAAAGAAGGCAACCAAUUAACUUGAAGCAUAUAAAUACAACGCCCAUGGGACAUGAUUGUGACUUGGCCCAACCCGGCCUCUGCUGCAUAGGAAGGAUGAUGGCCUAUGCAUAAAUUGCAGCAUGCAUGAAUCGAAUCCGUGACCUACUCUGAUACCACUUCUUGGAUCAUCGAUGCUACCACAGUUCAAGAAACUUGAGCUAUCAAAAAGGGGCAAUCAAUUCACUUAAAGCAUAAAGAAACAGUGGCUAAGAAUCUCAAUUGUGACUUGGCCCAAUCCGGCCUCCACCACAUAGACAGGAUGUUGGCCUACCCGCCAAUAAAGCCAAAAUUAGGCAAAGGAGGAAGAGCUCCAAUUCGCUAGAGAUUUAACCUUAAGCAAAAUGAAUCAGGAGUUCCAAGUCUCAACUAGAUAUUUACUGCCCCUCUAUAGUACAGUUAGAAUAAAAGGAGAGUUAUUUGUCACAAGGACAGAAAAUGCUGAUAUAUAAAUCGCUCUACGAAGUCUUAUAGUUGAUGAUUUUUUUUAUUUCCUGCAAAUCACAUUUACAUUGUGCAUAGAGAAAUACUCUAUUCCAAUUGCUGAUGCAUGCGAUAGAAUCUAAUGUUCCAAGCAAAGUAGUGACGUAACAACCCUAAGACGUAGAGGUAACAUCAUGCAAACACAAUUUGAAAUUACAUAGAUAAAUAUGAAAUUAACACAACAUGAAUCCAUUAAUCCGAAAAUAAUACGACAUGAUUACCAGUGCCUAAAAACGAACCAAAUUUAAGUUUGAGGUCAGAUUGAGCAAGCCUUCAAGCCUAAUCCUCAAAAUACUGAAAUUAGUACCCUUAUCUAUAAAUACCCUUUUAUAGGGAACAUUUGGUUCGGGUUAUCCUGUCAGGAUUAUAGGCAAUGCUGUCAGUAUUAUUGCGUUUGGUUCAUUCAGUUUGUAAUCUGGUCGGUAAUAUAGUAUUACAAAUAGUGCAAGAUUACUCCGAAAAUAUUACCGAGCAGGGGGUUGGAUAUCCCGUAUUACUGAUGGUGGGUUAUUUUGCAUAUUAUGUAAAAUUACAAGUACCUCUCCAACGAACCCAAACCUUUUCAAUACGUUAUUUUUAAAUUUUAAAUUUUAAAUUUUAAAUUUUUAAAUUUUAAAUUUCAAACUUUUUAAUUUUAAAUUUCAAUUUUUUUAAUUUUCAAUUUUAAUUUUCAAUUUAGAUUUUAAAUUCUAAAUUUUAAAAUUUGAAAUUUAAAUUUUCAUAUUUAUAUUUUAAAUUAAAAUAUUAAAUUUUAUAUUUCUGUUCAUAUUUUAUUUUAAAUUUAAAUUUAUAUUCUAAAUUAUUUUAAAAUAAAAUUUAGCAAAAAAGUUAUUAUUUGUAAACAGUAAAUUUUUCUUUCCAAAUAUGACUAUAAGGGCAAUUUUAAAAUAGACUAUACUUUAUUAUUAUAAUUACUGAAUUUUAUAAAAUGAACCAAACAUAAUAAUUUUAUAUAUACUGUAAUAUAGCAUUACAUUACUACAUUAAACCAAACGUGGUAAUGCAGUAUCAGUAGUAAUCUGAUUAAAAAAUCUCAGAUAUCUAGUUAUGUCGAAAUAACCUGUAAUGCUAUGCUACAUAACACGAACCAAACGCGCCCUUAUAGCAAUGCUACCCUAACGGAAAAAUAGAAACAAACUUAUCUAUUAACCGAUAAAACUACUUGAUCAAAACGGAAAUUGGGUCAAUCACAAAUGUUCGAGGCAGAUCCUACAAUGACUGAGAUACGCUAAUUUUGUUUUGAUACAUGAUAAGAAAGCCAUACCCUUUGCAACCAUAGAAAACAACAUGAUACGACAUGCAUAGUUAUUGACUUUAUACACAAGUAUGAUAAAAAGUAUAUAACUACAAAGACAUUGUUUGCUAAGUAGAUUCGCGUAGGCUUUUCAGAUGAGCAAUCUACACAUGAAUAUUGAAGGCUUAGUGCAAUAUCUUUACAGGUCCGUCACUUUACAUGUCGGGUCAGAUUGGGCACACAUUGCUAGGGUGAUCUCUUCAUUAAUUGCUUAAGAUGCUACUCUAAUUAUACAUUAUGUUUGUUCUGAAGGCACACAUCAAUAAUAUUUUCUUGUUCACAGUUGGUAAUAUGUUCUGCUAGCAUAUAGUGCGUUGGAUGUCAUGUAUGAUAUGUACAAGCGACAAACUGGAACUUCUAGAUCAACAGAGAUACUACAGUUUGAGCCGAAUGGAAAACCAAGCAUAGCAGUAGUAAAACUCGAUCAAAUGGACUUUCAGAAAAACUUCAGUGAUACAAUUUUGAUAAUCUGUACACUCUUUGAGAAAUGAAGGAUAAAAUCUACAAAAAAGUUUCAUCGAUUAUUAUUCAAACUGAAGUAAGGUUCUACCUUGAAUGGGAACAUUCUGAUUAGGAUGACACAAGAACUUUUCAUGUGUUUAGCUCCAACUUGGCAACAGUUAGCUCCAACUUGGCAACAGUUCACUCCAUCACCUGAACCAAGUCAAAUUUACCAGUUAUUGGUGAAAAAGAAGAACAAUGAUUUCUUAACCAGUUAUAUGCUGUUCCAGCUCACCACUUAUACAGGUCAGGAAGUUGAAUAGACAGAAGAAGUUCACUUCUGGCGAAUGGCAAAAGUGUCUAAUCAAUUCACUCAGCCAUCAUCUCUUCCCCAAAUAAAUAUCCUCCAGUUCAAAAUUCCACAUCUCUAAUGCCAGAGCAUAUAGCUUGAUUAUUGAGCCACACACAUUCGUGAUCCUCAUAUCAUCAGUGUGUUGAGAACUGAAAAUAUUUCAAUCAACUAUUCUUUGGAUGUUUCCCUCGCUAGGAUAACAUAUGUAUGGAAACUAGGUUUACAAUCAUUAGUUUCCAUAAUGUGAAGAAAUGUCAUGUAUAAAUCUUGAUGUCCUCCCCUCAUCAGUCCAUCAAUGAGGAUGGUCCAUGCGAUCUCAUCAGGAUUCCAAAGCUGUGCGAGCAUGUUUCGAAAUAUACUUUGGGCUUUUGAUGUCCUGCCAACUUUGCAUAAAGCACAUAUUAGUGCUUUAUAGCCAGUUAGAUGCAGCUCAAAGCCUUGAGCAGUCAUCUUAUCGAAAAUUUCUGACGCAAGAUCUACUUCUAAGUUACUUGCAAGUACUUGUAGCAAAGAAUUAUAUAUCUCCCCAUCUGGUGAUAACUUUUGGUCAAUCAUACUACUGACCAACUGAUAUGCCUCAAACCAUCUUCCUUCUCUACAUAAACCACUUGCUAUCAUUCUAUAUACAUCAAUUGUCAAUUCAACUCCAAACUCUUCUAACUUAGCUAACAAGUUAGAAACCAACUCGUUGUUAAUAACCUUCUCACUAUAACUAAAACUGGAAACUGAAUUUGGCAAAGCAGCAAGUUUCUGAUCCAUUAUUUGGUGUUCCAUAAGCAAGCAUUUAACUAGAACACCAUACGUCUGGUAGUUGGGCUUGCACCCAGAACCAAUCAUUUGCCUAAAGAAUUCUAAAGCAAGAUCAACUCUACCAAUCAUAGCAUAACCGUCAAUCAUUGAAGUAUAUGUAACGUGAUCAGGAACCAACCCUUUUUCGCCGAGCGAUGCAAACAUCUUCUCGGCCUCCUCAAUAUUACCUUCUUGGCAUAAACCACAUAAAAGAGCACUAUAAGUAUGAAGAUUAGGUGAACACCCUCGCUCCUUCAUUUCUUCCAUUAUUUUUAGUGCUAAGGAUGUAGCACCGUUCUUACACAAACCAUCAAUUAAUGCGGUAUAAGUAACGAUGUUAGGAAAGAGCUUCUCGUGAACCAUCUCUCUACUUAAUCUCUGAGCUUCAGCCAAUUGAUUCUGCUUGGAUAAACCAUUAAUUAUGGCAUUGUAAGUUUGCACAUUUGGUUUACAACCACUUCUAUCCAUCUUUUCAAGCAAGGACAAGGCAAUGUCUAUUUUCCCGUCCUUACAGUAACCAUCUAUAAUAGCCGUAUAAGUUACCUCAUUGGGAUUCAAACCAUGGAGGACCAUUUCUUCAAAGGUCUUAGAAGCUAAUUCCAACUUCCCUCCUUUACAAAACCCACAAAUAAGUUCAGUAUAUGUCCACUCAUCAGGCUUGCACCCAUGUUCCUUCAUAAGAUCUACCACCCUAAGGGCAUUAUUAAGAUUGCCUAAGUUACAAUAUCCCUUUACUACAGUGUUAUAUGUCACUUGGUUUGCUGAAGGGCCAACUGUUAGCAUCCUAUGAAAGAGAACCAUCGCCUUUUCAAUCUUUUCCACUAAACAGAGCCCUUUUAUCAUCUCGUUGUAUGUUAGGGAAUUCCGCAAGCAACCUCUCAUCUCCAUCAAAUCGAAAAUUCUUAAAGCCAAAUCGAUUUUCCUGUUAUCGCACAAUCCAUUGAUCAAAGCAUUAUAGGUUACUGUACUUGGGACCAAACCAUCCCUCACCAUCUUAUUAAACAAACCAAUUGAUAUUUCAAGCCAAUCCGAUCUGCAUAGCCCGCUAAUGAGUGCCGUAUAAGUCUGAACAUUCGGCAACAACCCUCUCUUUUGCAUUCCAACAAACAGAUUGGACGCAUCCCUGAUGCGUCCAAAGCUACAAAGAACGACAAUCGGCAAAGUGUACGUGUAGACCGUCGGCUCAAUACCUCUCUCCGGCAUCUCGUUCAUCAAAUCCAAUGCCUCAUCAACUCUCCCUACGUCACAUAGCCCAUUGAUCAGUGUAGAGUACGUAGCUGAAUUAGGUUCACAGCCAUCAUUAACCAUCUGAUCAAAGACUCGAAAAGCUGAAUCCAGAUCGCGGUUCCGGCAAUGACCCAGCAUUAAGGAUGUGAAAGUGAACGUGUCGGGCUUCAUUUUGCACUGGAAAAUCCUACUUAGAAUCAACCCAGCCUCCUUGAUCUUCCCAUUCUUACACAAAAUAUUGAUGACGGUAUUGAAGGUCAAGAGAUUGGGCUCGAUGCCAUUCCUCAACAUCUGGUGGUAGAGAUUCAUUGCAACCCCGACCAUAUCAAAUCUACCCAAUUGAAUUAACAACGUAGUAUAGCUGAAGAGACCCAAAUUGAGGCCCCUUUUGCUAAUAACAUCCAAGAAAUCGAUCGCCCGCGUCAGCUCCUGCCUACUCCGGCACGAUUUGAUCAUCUGGAUCCGGACCCUCCCGGCGGCCGCGAGCAUCCGAGCGGCGACGAGCCGGUCGAGCAGCGCGAAGUAGCAGCCCAAGUCCUGUUUGACGAAAUGCCUCUGAGAGACCCAGUUGAAGAAAUCCAACGCCCUCGCGGCGUCGCGGUGGGAUCCGAUGAUCCGCGAGACGUGGUGCGGGAGGAGGGCCGGGGCGAGGCGGGCGAGGUCGGGGCUAUCUCUCCACCGGGGAAGGGAGAGGAUCUCCAGGGCUUUGGAGGCGAGGAAGGAGGGGUCCUCUCCGUGGUCUGCGUUGGGGGAGAGCGAGCAGAGGGAAUGCGAGAGGAGGAGGAGGGGAGGUGGGUGCGGCGGUUUGCGGAGGAGGGAGAGAGGGGAGGUGGAGGCGAUGGAGUAGGGUUUCAUCUUCUCAUGGAGUAUGGCCGUGGGAAGAAGAAGAAGAAGAAGAAGAAGAAGAGAGAAAGAGAACGUGGGCAGGUUUAAGGCCACGGCUUUAGAGAGAGAGAGAGAGAGAGAGAGAGGGGGGUUGGAGAGUAAAAACUUAGGAGAGGAGAGGAUGGAGAAAUGGAAAACUCGUGAGGAAGCAAAUUUGGAGUGGAUUUAAGAAAAUUCAAUGGUUUUAGGGGGCUCCAAUUGUUGUUAGAACUUGGUAAUUAAUUUUGUCUUAGUAUUUGUUGUCAUAACAUUAAUUAGAUAUACACAUUUGAGAAUAUAGAUGCCCAGAGUUGAAUCGGAAUACUAUCCAACCAUCCAUUUAUUUUCGAUGACGGAAACUUUAAAUCAGCUUGACAUUAUUGAAUAUAAUCUAUACACUUAAAAUAUCUAUAAAAUAAAUUUCAAAUCUUUUCGAUAUUAUUCUUUUGUUCAUCAAGUAGACAUAAAAAUAAACGACUGAAAAUAAAUAUCAUUUAAAGAAUAUAGAUCUUAUUCAAAAUAGUUUAAAGAAUUUUCUAAAAAAAAUUCAAUUGAUUUGAAUAUCGUUAUGCCGUUAAACGAAAAAACAUCUUAUAUCGACUAUUAAAAUUAUAAAUUUUGAAAUCCUUUGUUGAGUAGGCCAAUGAUGGCGAGAAGAUUUGAAAUUUGAUUUCUAGAUACUUCAAGUGGUAUGUAGAUCAUAUUCGAAGAUGCCGAUCGUCGAUUUGGAGCCUCUAUCAUCGAAAACAAAUAAGUGACAAUGGAGUUCGUUUGCUACUGAUAGUAUUCCAACUCAACUCUAUAUAAUUAAUAGAACUUGUUUUAUUUUUAUGUCUAAAUAAGUUAUCCAGUAAUAACUUAUACGAUUUUAAAUUUUUUUAUUAAAAUUAAAAUUUAGAAGUGUAAUCAAAUGUUUAAAUUAAAAUAAUAAAUUUGAUUUUCAAAUUAUUUUUUUCGAAACAAAAAAAAUAACCAUAAAGGUAAAUUAUGUUAGUAUAAUAUUACUUUAUAGAUAACAAAGCCUUUCAAGCUCUAAUAAUUAAACUUCUACCUUUCGAAUUAUAGAAGAAAAUUUUUUUACCAAAUAAAUUAUACCGAGAUAACAUAUUUUGUCAUUCCAAUAAGUGAGAAUUUGGUUUAUAUAAGCAUAUUGUAUACAAUAGAAAGGCAUAAUGACAGGGACUUAACGAAAUUGCUCUUUGCGAAUAAAAACGCUAAGGCGUCACAAUAAGCUAUGCUUUGAUACAUGAAUAUCUUAUUUAAUAUAUAUAUAUAUAUAGAGUGAGGCUACUAUGCUAUCGAAAGCACGGAGCCUUCCGUGCUUCCAGCUCGUUUUCGAUGUUGCGACUUUCGAAUCGUCGAUCGGCUCCGUUAGAAUUGAUCUAGAGUAUUUGGAGUACUUAGAAAAUAAAUUUUAUUAUUUUUCGAUAUCAUUUGCCUAGUGAUCGAAUGGGCUCAAAAUCAACAAAUUUCAAUGGCCGUAGUGAGCCGUUUGCAAGUUUAACGGUGUAGAAAUAUCCAAAUCACGUGAAAUUUUGAUAGAAAAUUCUUUAUACUAUAUAAAACAAGAUCAAUAUCUUUGAUUUAAAAUUUUAAUGUCAUAUUAUUACAUUUUGUAAGAUUUUUAUUUUCAGCCGUUGAUUUUGAGCCCCUUCGUUCACUAGGCAAAUGAUAUCGUAAAAUCAUAAAAUUUAUUUUCUAGGUACUUCAAAUACUCUAGAUCAAGUUUAACGGAGCCGAUCGACGAUUCGAAAGUCGCAACAUCGAAAACGAGCUGGAAGCACGGAAGGCUCCGUGCUUCCGAUAGCAUAGUAGCCUCACUCUAUAUAUAUAUAUAUAUAUAUAUUUACAUAAAAAGCUUGUAGUAAUUGGCAAGUGAGAAAUAUGAUAUAUUAUCUAGAAUGGAAUAAUCAUAUUUCGUUCAUUUUUUAAAUAGGAUAAAUCACAUCACAAAUAAAAUAUUGUGUUCAACCAAAUUAUUAUAGAGGUCAAAAUCAUUCAAAAAGCAUAAAUCAAACUAUGCUUUUUAAUCGAACAAGAAAAUUCUUAUAUCAAAUAAGUUAUGUUCAAAUUGGACCCUAAUGCCAGGAAUUGCCAACUUAAAGAUAAUUUUUACAAAAGUAAAAUAUUGAAAUUGAAAUCCACAACUAAAAUUUGAAUUAUAAACUAAAGUUAAUAUGUUUAUAAAUUUAUAAUCAAAAUCCAACCCUCUAGACUAAUUGAAACACCUAAUAGAAAUCAAACAUUUAAACCUGACUAUUCCUUAUGCAAACUUAAUAGACAAAACUCAAAUAAUUAUUAGUUUGUACGCAAAUUUAUUUUCGGUACCAAUUUCAAGUUUUAGUUUGAGUUUAAUGUGGAUACAAGUGGGGAAAAAAAGGAUUUUUUUUUUUUUUGGCCAAUUCUGCGAGCCAAAUUGGCUUGUUGAAUCAACCACUAUAGUACAACUUUAGUAAAGAAAAUAAAAUAAAAUUAAAACUAAAACUGCAACGUAAUUGAUCCUAUCCAGCUACUAUUUAGGGUUAUUUGGUUGAAUGUAGUUAUAGCAAUUAUAACUAUAUGCAAAGGCUAAAUUACAUAAAAUCUCCCGUCAAAAUCCGCUUUUUCACUUUUCCCUCCUGUUAUUUAAAAACCUACACUUUACCCCUUUGUAAAAUAAAAAAUAUGCACACUACAGUGUGAAAAAUGACCAUUUUGCCCUCCACCAUUUUCGUCUUCUCCCUCAUGCUCUUCAUCUGCGGCCUCGAUCGGCCAUGGUUUGCCCCUCGAUCGGCCACGAUUUCUCUUCAUUUUCUUCUCCACAUGCUCUGCUUCUCCUCCUACAGCCUCGUUGCACCUCGAUUUCGGCGACAGUAUGGAGGAAAUCGAGGUGGGCAUGGAUGGAGAGGUGGCAACGGCAACAAGGGCGAAGUCGAGGCGACGGAGGAGGGCGAGGGGGUGGUUAUGGGCCCAGACGGAGAUGUGGGCGAGGGCGAGGCAGUGGAGGAAGGCAAGGCGGCGAGGCGGAGGAAGCGAAGCAAUAGGAAGAUGGCGGAGGGGUAUUUUUGGCAUAAAAAUUUUUGUUUUAACGAAAUCCUAACAGAUCGCUAACGACAGGAGGUGAAGUGCAUAUUUUUUAUUUUACAAGGGGGCAAAGUGUAGGUUUUUAAAUGACAGGGGAGGAAAGUAAAAAAGCGGGUUUUGACAGGAGGGUUUUCUGUAAUUUAGCCAUAUGCAAAUCCAAAUUCAGUAUUUGGUUUAAUAUAUUAAAUCUAGUUGCUAUAGUUAAAACUGCACAAAGAGGUUCAACCAUAAUAGCUAGAAUUAUAUCCAAAUUGAUCGCAGUUUUAAUUACAACUUUUGAAAAGAGUGACUUCAAAUAAAAGAUAACCUUAUUUUCCUCAUCACCUUUUAAAUAGAUUUUUUUUUUUCUAUAUUUGCGGGUAAUCUCGCAUCUCAUACACACAUAUUGAUAACAUUUUAUACAUGCACUUUUUAACCACAUGCGACUAAACAAAUUUUUAUAAUUAUAGUACUUUUUAUUAUACACAAUUAAGAAAGAUGUUUGUAGUUCUAAUUGCUAUAUUUUUAAUUACAUUUAUAUUCACCUAUACUGUAUUUAUAAUUAUAUUCAACCAAUUAAAGUCAGAUUCGACAUAAUCAGUGCUGCAAUAAUAUGGUACUACAAAACAUGCAAUUCUACACUGUCAAAAGCACAUAACCAUAGUUAUGCUAGAAUAUAACCAAGUUUAUAUAAUUAUCAUGAUCAUGGAAUGAUAAAUACUACAAUGAAAGAAACUGUAAUCUCUAACUCAAUGAGAUAAUAUCCUACUCUCAGUUUAUCAAUGCGCAGAAAAUUAGUUGAAGUCAAAGAUCAAUCUAAUAAAUGCCUGCUCGGUCGCCCUACGGUUUAGGUUUGGACAACCGCCAUCGUAAAGUUGACCAUGCUAAAGUCCGUUGACCAUUGGGCCCUGAAAUCAGUCCUAUGCUAGUUCCUAUGCCGAUCGACCACAGAAGUGCGGUCAAUUGGUUAUGUGAAAUACGGAGCAUCAAAAGGUAGUUCAAACCACACCUAAUAAGAAAUCAAAAUAAGAAAUCAAAAAAAUUAGAAAUCACCCAAAGAUCAAAACACAAAGAAAAAAAUAAAAUGUAAGGUAUUUUAUCUGAGUUUUGAGCUUUGAAAUCGAAGAAUGGGUGGCUUGAAGCGACCUUUAUUCUUCAAACCCGGAUGAAGUCGUUGGCCUCCACCAUGCAACAUAGAACAUAUGGAGAGUAGCUUCGCUUGAAAAUAACCGACCAUCCCUAAAGCAAGUGGCAAAGGGCUUGAUGGCUGGUACUGAGGUCCCAAGUUCGAAUCCUAGUUGAUUCACAUUUCUAGCUAAGUUUAUUUCUAAAUGAAAUAAACGAAGCGGGUAGCGUGCUACCUAUCUCUCAAAAAAAAAAGAAAAAAAAAAAAGAAAGCUUCGCUUGAAAAUAACAUAAAGCACGGGGAGGAGAGAGAGAGAGAGAGAGAGAGAGAGAGAGAGAGAGAAGAGUAAGGGAGGAAAAAUAAGGGGAAACAAGGAGGAGCUAGCGACAGAAAAAAGGAAAAGAGAGGGAAAAGAAUUAGUGAAAGAGAGCGGAAGAGAGUGAAAAAGAGGAGGAGAUAGUAAGAAAAAAAAGUGUAACGGAGAAGAGGAAGGGGGGCAAAGAUAGGUAGAGGAGGUUGCUUCCCUAGGCAAGUGAGGGACUGAGAGGAGUGAGGUGUUGUAGGUAGAAAUAGCUAUAUCAAUUGGCUCGAUCGACAGGAUGUAAUUCCUCGGUCGAUAAUAUUGUUGGUCCAAGCUAAGUCCAGAUUGGCAAGUGGCUUCGACGGUUCUCAACGGUUGCUUAACUUGAUUUCCAAAUUCAAAUGAUAACUUUCAAAAUAAAAUUCAACAUAAAGAUGUAUAAAUAUGAACUAAAUCAAUGAAAGAUCAAUAGAUUUUAUUUCAUGUCAUUCUAAGCGAACUACAAAUUAUAAAUCCUAAAUAAUUUUUUGAAUAAUUAAAUUUAGUAACGGCAUUAUGGUCCAAGGUCAAAAUUUAACAAUGAAGUAAUGAUAGUCAACCUGCAUGAAAUUUUGGAGCUUCAGAAAGACAUCUAAUAAUUAAAACUUUAUAGGGAUGUAAUAGAAUUUUGUAAAGAUAAAUAUGUAAUUUUAUAGAUUUGUUGGGAUAUAUAUAUAUAUGCAACUAUCUCUAAAUCUUGCAAGGUAUUAUUAUGAUAGAGAAGAUUUUCCCCUCAUUGAGAAAAAAAAAGAAAAAAAUCUAGAAUGUGACAGGCAAAUAGAGUUGUGUCUUUCGUCAAUCAUAUUUAUUUUCCAGACUUUUUUUUUAAUAAAAAAAAUUUUCUCUUAUCUUAAAAAGCCAGCUCACAAAAAAGGUGUGUUUACAUGUGUUAUAUAGUAUCAGAGAAGAAAACAUGUUUCAAUUUUUUGUUUAGGGAUUGAACGUCUUCCUUUUUCGGAGUAAAACUUUCAUUCAGGUAUAAUCUUGCUGAAAAAUGGCCAAUAAAAGAAAAGCUUUCUUCAUUUUUUUAUAUUGAGUUUUAUGCUUGAAAAUGUCAAGCCUUUUUCUAAUGCCGGCAAAUCGAACAUGUUUGCCCAUUCUAUUAUGAUUUUUUUAAAAAACAUUUUUAUUAUAUUUUUUACCAAAAAGAAUAUAAUUGAGUAAAGGGUUAAUUCCAUAUAGCUCCAUUUAAACCUAUCUGUGAGACACCAAAUAGUCUUAUAUAUAAAAUAUAAUAGAGCUAAAACUCUGAUCCCGGCUUAAGAAUUGUGAGUGGUGGAAAGACCCAAGAUGUUAAGAAAGUUAAGCGUCGUAGGACGGGAGUAGUCCUAGGAUGGGUGACUUCCUGGGAUGUUGGGGUAUGGUAUCGAAGUCAAUUACUAACCAGAAGUGUGAGAUGAGUCUCGGCUGAGCCAUGGUCGGAGUGACAAGGCUAGCAAGAGGAGUCUCACAUCACCUGGUAUUUGUGAGUUUGAGUCUGACGAGAACGUCAAGGCUUUUUAAAGGGGGGUAUUUGUGAGUUUGAGCCUGACGAGAACGUCAAGGCUUUUUAAAGGGGGGGAGAAUGCGAGACGCCUUAUAAUCCUAUAUAUAAGAUAUAAUAGAAUUAAAACUUUUAACCCGACUUAAACAUUUUGGGUGGUGGUUAGGUCUUAGCCAUCAAGAGGUUAAGGAAGUUAAGCGUGCUAAGACGGGAAUAGUCCUAGAAUGAGUGACCCCUGAAAAGUUAGGGUGUCAUAAUAUCGAAUAGCAAAUAUAUAUAUCUAUACAAAGUUCAACUUUUCAUAUUUAUCUCUACAAAAGUCGAGUGGUAUUCAUACUUGCCCUACAAAAGUCUAAUAAUAUUUAUAUUUGUCUUUAGUUUGUUACCAUUAGAGUACUAUUUAUUUUUUAACAAAUAUAAGUAAAACGAUAUUUUUGUCAUCACAAAUAUGUCGCUCCAAAAAUUCCAACUAUUAGAAUUAUAUAGAAAUGUCAUUCCAAAAAUUUUCAACAAUCAUUUUCUUUCUUUCUUUCUACCACGACAAAUAACAUAAGAGAGAUAAAAGAUAAAAUUUACCCUAUUUAUUAAUUAGGGCUAAUUAACUAUAUUUUUUUAACAAAUUCUAAUAUUAGAAAUAUAUUUAAAAAUAUUAAAAUUUUUGCAAAGAUAAAUAUAAAAAGUUAAAUUUUAUCGGAGAUCAUCAUUAAUAAAUUUACAGUUGUUCUGCGGCACUAAUGGUGAGCAUGCAGCCUCCGCCCUCCCCACCAACUCAUCCAUGUCGUCGUCUUCUUCCUCCUCCCUCCUCCCCCACCCACCACCACCGCCGACGCGCUCCGCCGCUCCUCCGCCUCCUCCGCCUCCUCCUCCUCCACGCUCCCCUGCCUCAUCAAAGCCUCCGCCCAAUUGGAGGCCGCCCCAGAAGGGAAGCAGCUCCAUGGCCUCGCCCUAAAGCUCGGCUGCGCCUCCGAUCCCUUCGUCAGCAGCAGCUUGGUAAGCUUCUACGCCAAAUGCGGCGACUUGGGCUCGGCGAGCAAGGUGUUCGAUCGCAUUGCGUGCAAGGAUUCGGUCGCUUGGAACUCGUUAAUCGACGGGUACGCGAAGAGCGGAGCGAUCGGGCCCGCACGGAAGCUGUUCGACGAAAUGCCGCAGAGAGAUUUGUUUUCCUGGACUUCGUUGAUCAACGGGUACUCGAAGUUGGGGGAGAUUGACACCGCACGGGAGCUGUUUGAUCGAAUGCCGGAGAAGAAUGCGGUCUCCUGGAAUGCGAUGAUAAACGGGUACAUGCGAAGCGGGGACUUUGCGUCGGCAAGAAGGCUGUUUGAUGAAAUGCCGAUGAGGAAUCUUGUCACCUGGAAUUCGAUGAUCUCGGGCUUUGAGAAGCUCGGUCUUUUUAACAAGGCUCUCGAGGUUUACGAUGCAAUGCGCCGAGAAAACUUGGCUCCCAAUACCGUUACGUUGGUAAGCGCGCUUUCGGCGGUCUCAGGGUUAGCUCUUCUUCAGAGGGGUAAGGUGAUUCACACGCACGUUCGCCAAAAUGGAUUCAACUUAGACGGCGUUCUCGGAGUCUGUCUUAUUGAGAUGUACUCAAAGUGCGGAAGCAUAAAGAGCGCACUCUCUGUUUUCAAACGGAUUCAUAGGAAAAAGGUGGGGCAUUGGACCGCGAUGAUCACGGGCUUAGGAAUGCAUGGCAUGGCCGGGCACGCCAUAAAACUCUUCGGAGAAAUGCAGGGCGCUGGAUUCAAACCGAAUUCCGUAACUUUUGUGGGCGUGCUGAACGGUUGUAGUCAUGCGGGAAUGGUGGAAGAGGGUCGGCGCUAUUUUGAGCUCAUGCGCACAAAGUAUGAUAUAAGGGCGACGGUAGAACACUAUGGGUGUUUGGUGGACCUUCUUUGCCGAGUUGGUCGGUUAGAAGAGGCGAGAGUUGUGAUAAACCGGAUGCCUAUGAAGCCAAACAAGGUAAUAUGGAUGAGUCUACUUAGUGGGUGUAGGAAAUAUGGAAACAUCGGCCUCGGAAAAUAUGCUGCGGAAAAUGUUGUUGAACUGGCACCCGACGUGUCAGGUUGCUACGUCCUUCUCUCCAAUAUAUAUGCCUCCGCUGGCCGUUGGGACGAAGUCUCGAAGCUUAGAGAGUUGAUGAAGGAUAGAGGAGUGAGAAAGGACCCAGGUUGCAGCAUGGUGGAAUAUGAUGGCAUUGUUCAUGAGUUUAUUGUGGGGGACAGGUCUCAUCCUCAAACCAAAGAGAUCUACUGUAAAUUGAAUGAGAUGGGUAUCAAAUUGAAAAGCGCGGGGUAUGUACCGGAUACUUCGCAGGUUCUAUUAUGCGUGGAAGACAAAGAUAAGGAAGCCGAGUUGGCUCGUCAUAGCGAGAGGUUGGCGAUUGCUUUCGGGCUGAUCAAUGUGAAAGCAGGGGCUCCGAUUAGGGUCGUCAAGAACCUACGUGUUUGUAACGAUUGCCAUAGCGCGACGAAGCUUCUUUCGGCUAUUUAUGAGCGGGAAAUCGUCGUUAGGGACAAUAGCCGCUUCCACCAUUUUAAAGAUGGCGCGUGCUCUUGUAUGGAUUACUGGUGAGCUUAUCAUGUGUUUCCGGAGUAUGCUUGAGACUUUGAAGUCUCUCUAUCUUCGGUUCGUGCCGGGCGGAUUUCUGGCUUUCUCUUGAGAUUGCUGCAUAGUAAUAGUUAUUGAGUGAAUGAUGGAGUUUCAUGGUAUGUAGUACGGUAUGCACAAAGAAAUGGAAGAAGAUUUGUGUGAAGUAUUAAAUGUCAAUUGAUUGUUCAGAACACUGGAAGAUACGAUUACAUGGAAAAGAAGAUAUUCUGGGGGUGAUUAGAUCUUGAGAUUGUUUUGGGCAUCUUUGUAAGAUGACGCAAGAGAGCAGGCGAUAGCCGAUAUGAGAUGGAGAACUUCGAGCACGCUGAUUAGCACCAGUUUUGGAUUUCCUGCUCUGUAGUUCCUGUCUGUGUUAUGAGGCUGAAACACUUCUGCAACGCACUAUUCUCACUAGGGGUGGAAACGAGCCGAGCUCGAGCGAGCUUAUGUCAGCUCAAAUUCGGCUUGAAAUUAAUUUCGAGCCUAAAUCUAGGCUCAAGCUCGGCUUGAAAUUAAUUCGAGCCGAGCUCGGAGCUCUAAACGAGCCGAUUGAAAUCUCGACAUUAUAAUAAUAUAAUAUAAAUGUUAAUUUUACAUAUCUUUUACCUACAAUUUGACUGCAAUAUGUCCAAUAUUCAAAAUACAAAAUAAUUGCAAGAAAUGUGAGCGAGGGUGACUGCCUGACUGGGGUGAGGGUCUGAGGAGAAUGAGAGAAGAGAAGAGAGAGAGAGAGGAAAAAAAUAUUAGGGAUUUGAAAAUUUGAAUGUUAUCGUGUUUUAGGUAUGUUGCAACAGUAAAAGUCUGAAAGAGAGAGUGUGUUAUGUAAAUUUAGAGUUGGCUCACAUUGCACGUUAUACUUGUUGGUUUAUUUUAUGGGCCAACAAUAAUGGCCCAAAUAUAAAUUAAAGCCUAUAUAUAAUUAAAAUAUAUUAUAUUUAUAAAUAUAUAUAUAUAUAUAGAAAUUAGGCUGGAAUACUAUUAAUAGUAAAACGCUUUUUUUGCUAUCAAGUUUUUAACUCUUAGAUAAAAAAUUGCUGGUCAGGAUGAUAUUAGUCGGAUUAGAUUGACUGCUCCCUAGGUUGAGUGUCUUCUACUCAGUUUAUAGUAUUUAACCCAAUGGUUUAGAAAUAAUGAAAGAGUUGAUCCAAAGGCUAAAAACUGGUAGCAACAAUAAAUUUUGCUACUAAUAGAUAGCCCAGUCCAACUCUAUAUAAUAAUAGAAUUAGGCUAACACAUUUACUAUAGUUGAGCUCGCGUACUAUAGUGUUUGUUUUUGAUCUUAUGGCCGUUCAAUCAACGAUCAAACACCGUUAAAUAUGAUCUAGGUAUUAUAAAGUUCUUAGAAAAAAAUAAAUUUAGUUUUUUCGAUAUCGUUUACUUAGUAAUAUAAAUUAUGUCAGAAACGGGUGGAAAUUAAUACUCUUUAAAAUUUGAGCAUAGGACUUUAAAUUCAAGAUCAAGAUUUUAUCUUAAUAUAUAUAGCCUUAAAGUAUUGUUCUAUCAAAAUUUGAAGAAAAAGAUUCUUCUAACACCGUUAAACUCCAAACUCGUCAUAAUAUCUAUUGAAAUGACACUUUUGGAAUGGUUGAUCAUAAAGUAAACUAUGCUCAAAAAAAUAUAAAAUUUUAUUUCUAAAUAUUUAAAUACCCUAGAUCAGUUUAAAGUGUGGAUCGUUGACUUGAACGCUCGAAAAUCGAAAACAAACAUACUAGUACGGAGCUCCGCUACUCAUAGAUAGUAAUAGUAGCCGACUCUCUCUCCUCUCUAUAUAUAUAUAUAUAUAUAUAAUAUAUAUAUAUAUAUAUAUAUAUAUAUAUAUUAUGAUAUAUAUAUAUAACUAUACUUCCGAGGCUUUUCGAGCUUUUCGAGCCUAAUUCGAACGAGCCGAGUAAUACUCAAGCUCGACUUGAAAUGAAUUUCGAGGCUUUUAUUUUGUUCAAGCUCGGCUCAUUUAAUUUCGAGUCGAGCUCGAGCGAGCCGAAUACGAGUCGAACGCGAGCUGGCUCGCUCGUUUGCCAGCCCUAAUUCUCACUAAAGAAACAUAAGCGAACAACUGAAACAACCGAUAUAUAUAUAUAUAUAUAUAUAUAUAUAUAUAUAUAUAGAGUCCGGCGACUAUGCUAUCGGUAGCACGGAGCGCUCCGUGCUACCAAGUUGUUUUCGAUGAUGCGGCUUCCAAAUCGACGAUCGGCUCCGUUAGACUUGAUCUACACUAUUGAAAGUAUUUGAAAACUAAAUUUCAAAUUUUUUCGACAUCAUUUGACUAAUGAUCAAAAGAUCUCAAAAUUGACAAUUUUAAUGGCUGAUGUGGUGUGUUUGUGAGUUUAACGGUGUAAAACAAUCCAAAUGCGAUGAAAAUUUUAUAGAAAAUUCUUUUCACUAUUUAGAGUAAGAUCAGUAUAUCUGAUCUUGAAUUUAAAUCUUUUAUCAUCAUUUUUUAUGAGAUUUUUAUUUUCAGCCGUUCAAAUUUUGAUUACUUGUUUGAUAGGUAAAUGAUAUCGAAAAAUUAUAAAAUUUAGUUUCUAAAUACUUUCAAUAGUGUAGAUUAACUCUAACGGAGCCGAUCGUCGAUUUGAAAGCCACAUCAUCGAAAACAACUUGGUAGCACGGAGAGCUCCGUGCUACCGAUAGUAUAGUAGCCUAGCUAUAUAUAUAUAUAUAUAUAUAUAUAUAGUUCGGCUAUGGUGCUUGUAAAAGUACCAAAUAUUUAGUGCUUGUAAAUUUUUUAUCGUUAGAUCUACGCCUUUGAUCAUUUUCACCCAGAUAUAGGAACUACUAAAGGGACUAAAGAAACAAGAACAACAACUACUAAUUCAUCAGCCAAUAUAUUCCCGAAUAGUCGAAAACUAAGAGAAAGGUUUUGUGAAAUCUUCUAGGAUGUUAAUUGGUAAAAGUAUUGGAGUUGGUUUGAUGUAUUUCUCGAAAUAACCCAAUCCUUUUUUGGUAAGACCCGCAUAAAAAUAUGCCACUGACGUGGGUAAAGCUAAAGCAACAGUAGUAUUUAUAUCAUUCGUGGGCGCAGCUAACUCCCCAUGAGGUAACUAGGGAUGUCAAUGGGAAUGGAUACCCGAAAUUUUAUCCGAACCCGAACCCGAAUGAAACGGAUAUAUUCGAUGGAUAUGGAUAUGGAUUUGGAUAUGGAUAUAAAAAAUAAAAACCCGACGGAUAUGGAUUCGGAUAUGGAUUUUGAUUGUACCCGACCCGAACCCGAACCCGACCCGAACCCGAAUUUAUUUUGUAUUAUAUNGUAGGGUCAGGAUGAUAUUAGUCGGUUAGAGUUGACUGGUCCGCCUAGGGUUGAGUGCUUUCUACUAGGUUAUAGUAUUUAACCCAAUGGUUAGAAAUAAUGAAAAGAGUUGAUCCAAAGGCUAAAAAACUGGUAGCAACAAUAAAAUUUUGCUACUAAUAGUAGCCCAGUCCAACUCUAUAUAUAUAUAGAAUUAGGCUACUAUACUAUCUAUAGUACUGAGCUCCGGUACUAUAGUGUUUGUUUUUGAUCUUAUGGCGUUCAAAUCAACGAUCAACACCGUUAAAUAUGAUCUAGGGUAUAUAAAGUUCUUAGAAAUAAAAUUUUAGUUUUUUUCGAUAUCGUUUACUUAGUAAAUAAAUUAUGUCAAAACGGUGGAAAUUGAAUACUCUUUAAAAUUUGAGCAUAGGACUUUUAAAUUCAAGAUCAAGAAUGUUUAUCUUAAUAUAUAUAGCUUAAAGUAUUUUCUAUCAAAAUUUGAAGAAAUUUAGAUUCUUCUACACCGUUAAACUCCAAACUCGUCAUAAUAUCUAUUGAAAAUUGACACUUUUGGAAUGGUUUGAUCAUAAAGUAAACUAUGUCAAAAAAAUAUAAAAUUUUAUUUCUAAAUAUUUUAAAUACCCUAGAUCAGUUUUAAAGGUGUGGAUCGUUGACUUGAACGCUCGAAAAUCGAAAACAACACUACAGUACCGGAGCUCCGCUACUAUAGAUAGUAUAGUAGCCUAGCUCUCUCUCUCUCUUUCU
rnacentral:lncRNA from 1 species